AUCCUGAAAAUUCACACGUGUGCACGAAUAUUAUUAAUUUGUCAUAACAUGUAUGGAGAAAGUUUUCACAUUAGGUAUAUGAAUGCAUCCUAAAAUGAACAAUAUUUUUUCCUACACACCUGUUAUUGAAGUGGAACAAAUAACAUAUCUACACAAUCAGGAAAAGAUUAAAAGAAGUAUAUGAUAAAUGUGAAGUUUAGAGUAUAAAAAUUUAAGAUAGUGUAGGAUAAUAUUAGCAGUCCAAUUUUUAAAGUUUUGAUUUAUUAUUUGCAUAUGCUAUUUUUACAUUUCCAUGAAAUAGAGGGAGAGAGAAUGGAGAGUAAAAACAAAAGGUGUAGUUUCUCUUUCAUGGAUUAAAAAUGCUCAAGGGAGGGUCUAAAUGCAACAGUGUAGAUGCUAUUUAUAAAUAAUGAAAUAUUUCACACUUUCAUCAUAAUAGAAAAUUUUGUUGGAUUUAAAACUUUAAGCUAUAGUGCUCUAACUAUGGUUGUUAUUGGUAUGUACUAAAAUUCUAGAAGUUUACGUAUACUUGUAAUUUAAAACCUUGACUGAAAUAACAUGGAGAGCAUAGGUUUUCUAUAUGAAGCUUCUUAGCUUACCAUGGGGUGCUAUACUAAAUCAUAUCUAGUAGUGGUGAGGGGGAGGUGGUGAUGCAUAGACAUAGUGUGGUGGAGGUGGAGAGGGAUACUUAGGUGGAGGUGGAGGUGACUUGUAAUAGUAAGCUGGGGGAGGAGGAGAAGGGUACUUGUAUGGUGGAGGUGGAGGAGAUGGGUACUUGUAAGGAGGAGGAGGAGAUUUGUACUUGUAAACAGGUGGUGGAGGAGAUGGGUACUUGUAUGGUGGAGGUGGAGGAGAUGGGUACUUGUAAGGAGGAGGAGGAGAUUUGUACUUGUAAACAGGUGGUGGAGGAGAUGGAUACUUGUAUGGAGGGGGUGGAGGAGAAGGGUAUUUGUAGGGAGGUGGUGGUGACUUGUACUUGUAGACUGGAGGUGGUGGUGAUUUGUACUUGUAGACUGGAGGUGGUGGUGACUUGUACUUGUACACUGGUGGUGGGGGUGAUGGAUAUUUGUAAGGCUUCUUAGGAGGUGGUGGUGGUGACUUGUACUUGUAAACCGGAGGUGGUGGUGACUUGUACUUAUAAACUGGUGGUGGUGGAGAAGGGUAUUUGUAAGGCUUCUUAGGAGGUGGUGGAGGAGAUGAGUACUUAUAGGGUGGAGGUGGUGACUUAUUCUUGUAAAUUGGUGGUGGAGAAGAAGGGUACUUGUAUGGUGGUGAAGGAUGGUGAUAAGGAUGCUUGGGAGGUGAGUACUCUUGUGGUGGUGGAGAGUGGUAGUAGUAAGGGUUCUUAGGGGGUGGUGGAGGAGAUGAAUAGGGGUAGUUAUCAGCUGAGGUUUGAGAUGGCAAGCUUAGAGACACUAUUGCCAACACAAGAGUAAGAGUAAUAGAGGCCAUUAGAGACCCCAUUUCUCCCAACUUCUAAAAGGGUUUUGUUGUGCUAUUAGCAAAGGUACUAAACCCUAUAUAUAGUUUUUUUUUUACCAAGCUAACAUAUAAACUCAUUAAUCAUCUUGGAAGCAGCCCCUUUUUGACUUGAUCUAUUCAACUUAACUCUAUUCAAAUUUCUGGAACAUUUAAAUAUAUAAAUCUCUAUAAGGCAGUAAAUAUGAAACCAUAAAUUAAGAGUUAAAUUUCUCUUACAAAUUCUAUUUAAUUUGCAUAAACUACAUGAGAAACGUUUUAUAAAUUAGUUUUUAUGCAAGUAAAUUUAAAUCAUAAAAAAUGGUUAGUUCAUUUUUUUUCUUGUAAAUGUUUGUGUGAAAAACUCUUUCAAACAAAACCAAAGUCUACAUGAAUGGCAAUUAUAAUAUUAUUUAAAUUUAAUUAUCUCAUCAUUGUAUAAAAUACUAUCAGUAAAUGAAUUAUUGAGAGAUGUGAUAUCGCGUUUCAAUUGGACUUUUUAUUGUGGUUACCCGUACAAGAAAGUUGUUACAAUGCAUUUUGUCCUUGUAUGUACGAUGAAAAGGAAAAUAAAUAUAUAAAAUAAAGUUAAGAGAAAAGAGGUAAAGAAAAAUAUAGAUUAGUUAUAUUUCGUGUUGGACCAAUAAUAUAGAUUUUGAUCGAAGACUGCAAUCUAAUUUAGCAAAGGAAAGUAUCCAACUAAACAGCUGGUAAUAUUGACGUUACCUUUUUUUUUUUCUCUGUAGAAAAAGACACCAACCUUGUUUAACUAUUUUAGCUUUGUAUGAGCAAUUUUUUUAAGACUAAAAUAUUCAAAAGCAAAAGAAGUCUUCAUGAUACUACUUUUCAAUUUCUGUCACUUUGCUCCUUUAUUUGUUUGCAUACCAAACUUUGAAAACCAGGUAUGUUAUUGCCUAACUAUCAUAUUUUUCACUUAAUUUGGCAAUGAAAUUUUAUUCAAUAACAUAAUCAAUACUAUUUCUUGAAGAACACUUUUCUAAAAUGAUAUAAAAAUCCCUAAAAUACUUUUAUUUAUUUAUUGUACAUUAAAAAAACUAUUAAUAGUGAUAAUGACAUGAGAAAACUGUACCCUUGUAAAUGUAUAAUUUGAAGAGUAAUACACUUGGGGUCUAGAAGAAAUGUUCACUUGUUUCACUUUAUUUAUGAAAUAUUGAACACCGUAAGGCACUCAAGUAUUACUUAUUAAUAACUUAGUCCAACCUUGAUUUAGUUUAUAUUUUUGUCAAAUUGCAACACGUAAGUCAUGAGGCACACAUAAUUCUAUGUAUUGCUUGUAGCACAAUACAUGGUCUUCCGAAGGAAGUAUCUUAAGGUCCAUGCUUAAUAAAUUGAUGUUGAAAAUUGAGGUUGUAUAUAUAUGUUAUAUAUGUGAGUGAAAAUAGAUUAGGUCAAAUACUAUCUAGAUCAUAAUUAUUUUAUUGAAGUCUAAUAUCUAUUAUAAAUUAUUUUUAAAAAUGUUGGUAAAACCUAUUGUGAAGUUUAUGAAAAUCAAUUUAUUAUAUUUUUAAUCAACAAUUAUUACAAGAAAAUCAUCAAAUAGAAACCAAUUUUUAGAGAUCAAAAUAAUUAGUUGCAGUAGUAACUAAAUUAGAGACCAUUUUAGAAACUAAAAUAAAAAUUUGAUUUCCAAAUUAGUUUCUAUUAUUGUUAAAUAGUGUCUAAAUUGGUAUCUAAUUAGCAACCAAUGUUUUAACUACCAAUUAUUUAGAUUCUAAAUUUGGUUGCAAAAAUCUUGGUUGCUAAUUAGAUACCAAUUUAGAAACCAUUUAACAAUAAUAGAAACUAAUUUAGAAACCAAAAAUUGAUUUAGUCCCUAAAAUGGUGUCUAAUUUAGUCACUAUAACAACUAAUUAUUUUUUGUUUCUAUUUCAUGAUUUUUUUAUAGUCAAUAAAUAAUUUUUAUAUAAAAAUAGAGAAUCCUUAAAGUAUUCUUAUCCUUUCCGGAAAAAAUAUCAUACCAAAAAAAAAAAAAUAAUAUAUAUAUAUAUAUAUAUAUAUAUAUAUAUAUAUAUAUAUAUAUUUAAGUCCUCUUCUAUAGAAAAAGAAAAAUAAUGAAUUCCCGUUAUAGAUCUAUAUAUUGAUGGUUAAUAUCAUAGUUUGGUUGUAUAAGAUAAUAUUUGCUCCAUUCUUCAUAGUUUAUCCAAUCUUUUGCUUUUUUAUAUUUUAAAAAAUAAAAAUAAAUAAAUAAAUGUGAACUAUUUUAGAGACAAUCAACAAUUAUACGACCAAAAAAAUACUUAAUUUUAUCCUUCUCUACUUAAAAACAAAAUACCUGCAACCACCUAAAAUCCUAUUAAGAAUCCGAUCAACAACUUAAUACAUCAUUUAAUAAUCUUAUAAUCUUAUGCUUGUUGCUGUUGUUCUUGGAGGCCUCCUUAUCUACCUAAUUAAACAAUAGGAGAGCAAUAGAAGUCCAGGACAAUAGGAAUAUUGAUAAGUGAACAGGCUCUUGGCCCUGUAGGGAUGAUGCAAGCUAUUUACAAGAUAUAUACAUCUAAAAGUUCUCAAAUUAACUCUUAGUGCUCAUCCUCUUACAUGCCCCUCACAAAUAAAAGUUUAAUACGCGUGUAUCAAAACCUAUACACUACCCAGUGUAUCUUUCCAAAACAUUACAGUCACAGUAUAAAUAAACAGCUUCCAUAGAGUCAACAACAGUUUCAACCCAAAAAAGCUAACAUGCAUCAUAUCCAGUUCCGGUUGCAUCAUAACCUCCAAAUAUCUCCUCUACUGCUCAUCACUACCUCUGCUCUACACCUUCUAACUACAGGUUUUGUCAAGUCAGUCAAUGAUGAAUAUACACGUCUUUCAUUUGGCUCAUGUAAGGAUUACUGCAGCUAUUAAAACCAAGGAGGGAAGAAAGGGUGUAGCAAUAAUGAUGUUUGGCCCCCACAACAUUAGAACCACAUAGUAUAACAUGCAAUAGUGGUCUACCUACCCUCAGUAUCUUAUCUUACAAGUGCCUAAGACUCCUGUAUAUCAUUGUUUUAAAUUUAUCUGGCCAAACCUGUAGCCACUACAUAUUCGCUUUUUCAACCAGUCUACCAUUUUUUCCCUUUUGAACCUAAUUAUUCCUUCUAUUGAACUCCCCUGACUCCCCCAAUGUUGUUUCUUAAUUUUGAGACCGUGUCAUUUUUUCCUUUAACCCUCAUUUUGACACAAACACUUUCACACAUGUAAUUUAUAAAAUACAGGAUAUGAAAAUAUAAAUCUAUAUAUUAUAAAUCAUCAUAAAUUAUAUAAAUUGACAGUGUGAUUUAUGUGAAUAAGAUUAGUCGAAUAUAACAAAAAUGAAUAUUAUUUAUUCAUCUGUGUAAAAUUCAAAAAGUGCAAAAAGAAUAUAAUUCAUUUAAGACAUUUCAUCCCUUUCUUGAUCACCAUAGUUUAAAAAGAUACUUUGAUUUAAAUUCAUUUAAAGAUAAAUUAAUAACUUUAGAAAAAAUCAUUUUAUAUAAAGAUAUGUUCACAGAUUAAAUAAAAGCAUUUUCAAUAAUAUAUAUAUAUAUAUAUAUAUAACUAAACUAUUUCCGAUAUAUAUAGAGUCUGUUUUUUAUUUUUAUAAUCUUAAUAGAAACUUAUAUAAUAAGUUUGAAUUUUUAGAAAAUCAUUUUAUUUGUCAAUUUUAAAAUUGUGUUUGAAUUGUCAGAGACCCAAAAAAUAUAUUUUGAAAUGGAAACUUCACUGAUACGUGUCAUAUGCGUGUCAGUGUCUGAUAAUUAAUAUAUAUUUGUUCUGUGUCUAUCCUUUCAUUUCUAAAGAAACCUCCAUUACUUUGGUUCCAUGUGCUUCAUACUAUAAAUAUCCACGUACAUCUUCAUAUCCUAUUUCCAUUAUCAUUUGGCUCCAUUAUAGUUUGGUUGUGGUAUAUUGUUUGAUGGACAACCGAUUACACAUAUUUCACAUCUCCACUAGUGCAAAAUGUAAAAACAACGACUAUUUAUUUAAUGCGUUUUUACGAUUAGACGUUGUCAUUCAAAACACAAUGGCCUUUUUGAAAUUAACUUCACUUACGAUGCGACUAUUUGUAAUAGCCGCAUUCUUAAAUCAUUUUUUACUCUAACUUUGAAGUGCGCCACUUACGCUUUCAUACUUGCUUUUUUCUUGGUAUGCAUUUUCUCUUUGUUUAUGCUCUAGUGUUCCUCUCUUCUUCUAUGAGCUUCAUUAUCUUCUCGUGCCAUAGUAAGUUUGUUUCGAUCAACUCUCUUUAUUCUUCACCAAUGCUUUAUAACUUUUUUUUUUUAUUUCUCUUAUUUGUUUUCUUGCACUGCUCGAAGUACCAUUGUUUCAUUGCAUUCUUCGCUGCUUGUUUGAGUUUUUGCUUUGCUCCGUCACUGCUACCGUCGCCGUUGUCGGUCCCGCGCCAUUCUUCACCACCACUGUUGCCUUCAUGCACAAGGUUGGUGGUGUUUUACUUUUAUUUUUAUUUUGAAUUUUUUUUAAUGUUAUGAAUUUGUUUAUUUUUUAUUUAUUAUUAUUAUUUGUAUUUUUAAAAAUUUAUAUUAUUUUUUUAGGUUAGAAUAGAAUUAUUAAAUUAUUAGAUGGUAGAUACAUUUAUCUUAUUUAAUAAAUAUAGUUAAUUUAAUAAUUUUUAAUUUGUAUAUUUAGUAUUUAUUAUUAAUUUAUAUUAUGUUAGUUGUUAGUUUAUAAUAGAAUUAUCGUGUUGGUAUUGAGUCUGAGGGUGUUCGACCCUUGGCAAUUGAUAUGUGCUGGUAUUGAGUCUAGGGGUGUUCGACCCUCUGCAAAGUGAGAGCGAACACUCAUUAGAAAACACCUGAAUGACUAUUACAUAAUAUAAUUGAUCAAAAUUGGAUUAAUUCUGUUUCCAUAAGUGAUGAGUACGAAAGAGGAGUAGAAGAAUUUAUACAAUUUGCGCAACGUAACGCGAAUAAUAAUGGUCAUGAUGGAGCAAAAAUUAGGUGUUUGUGCGUUAAUUGUUUGAAUGGAAGGAUAUUGGAUGUUAAGAAAAUCAGAGAGCACCUUCUGUGUGAUGAGUUUCUUCGAUCUUAUACAACUUGGACAUGGCAUGGUGAAUAAUUAAAUUUACCACGUUUUUCUGUAACUGAAGAAUAUGUGGGGUCCACCAUGGAUGAAGUAGUACAUGAUGAUCGAUUGGAGGACAUGAUUCGUGAUGUGAGAGUUGAGUGUUUUGCAGAAGGGCAACAACGUGAUCUAGCACCCUAGUAAGAUUUCAAGCCUAGGCAACUCGACACUUGUACAAUUCAGAGGGGAAAAACCUCUUCUUAGUAAGAUUCUGAGUCCAAGCACCCUGAAUUGCCCUAAGAUUGUUUGGCCUAAGGUAGGUAAGCCAACCUACCUCGGUGUUGAAGAGUAGACUUGGAGUGAAAGCCAACACCCAAGUCAGAUACUCCGACCAAAGUCAUUAAGGAGUAGGCUUAGCGUGUGAGCCAACACCCAAGUUAGAUAGUCCAAGCGCAAUAGAGUAAGGCAACCCUUUCUUGGGAAGAUUCCAAGUCUAGGUGUUAUGAAAUUCGUAGUGAUUCAGAUGGGACAACGUUUUGCUCAGUGAGAUUCUAAGCUCAUGUGCCCAGAAUCAUAAGUCAGCCAUAACUAAGACUGUUUGGCUUAAACGGGAGGUCAACCUAUUUCGGUAAGACUCCGAGUUCAGGCACCUUGAUCAUGCAUUAUGAGGGAAAAUGGCCUACCUGAGUAAGACUCCGAGUUUAGGCACCCAAAGUAUCCACCAUGAGAUAGUUUGCUCUCUUCUCCGUAAGAUUUUGAGUUUGGAGGUACUUAGGUACGACUCGCUAUGAAUGAGAAGGCGUGGCUAAAGACAGGCAAGGCAACCUUACUCGGCCAGAAUACCUGAGUAGGCGCUAUGAGAAAAUUGUGUACCCACCACGACGCUGGAAAAAGCACUCCAGCUCGGACACUCUGUGGAAAAGCUAAGGUAAAAUUUGUAGGGUAACAAUACACCAUGAGAAUGUCAAAAGUAGGGUGGUUUGUGAACCAACACACAAGCCAGAUACUCCAAGCAAUAAGAAUACCUGAGGAGUAUACUUGAUGGUGUAAACCAACACACAACUCAAAUACUCCAAGCGAUAAAGUUCUCGAAUAGUAGACUUGAUGGUGUAAACCAAUACACAAGUCAGAUACUCUAAGAAAUAAAGUUCUCGAAGAGUAGACUCGGUGUGUAAGCCAACACACAUCUCGAAUACUUCAAGACUAAUGAAGUCAUUUAAGAUCAAACCUAGUGUUUGAGCUAACACCCAAGUCAGAUGCUUUAAACAAAGUAAAAAGGUUCAAGAGUUGACUUGGUGUGUAAAGCUAACACAUGGGUCAAAGGCUCUAAACAAAGGUAAUUGUUUAAUAGUAGACUUGGUGUAGGGAUUGGCACUCAAGUAAGAUACUCAGAUCAUCCCCAACGAUGGGGAUGGGUGUGUGCGGAAAACGGAUAGCCCUUUCAAGCAUACAAGUCCUGUACGACAAGAUCUAAAACGCUAAGACCUUGUUCAUGUGACUAGUCAACAUGUGAACAAGCGAGACACUCUUCGCAGACAAAGGGUAUAAGUCAUACACAGGUUAUCUCUAUAGGAGCAUUGUGAUUUCCCUUUCUGGUCUGGCACAUUACAUUGUUAAAGUAGUUAGUUAUGUUACCGCUGGAUGAUAAGGCUAUGCUAGUCAAGGCAUGCAAUAUACUAGUCGAAGUGUGCCAAAAGUUAAACGAGUUGGAUAAAUGAGUUAAGGCACUGCUACAUACAAGAUUUUAUAAAUUUAAUAUUGUUCAAAGGGUUACACAAGGUAGCUGAUUACAAGAGGAUGCUACUCAUCCACAAGACGACCAUCUACCACCAUUUUUUUCCAAACCAAGUUGGGAGAAAUCCAUCUCUAGGUAGAUUCCUAAGGCUUGUGUGACGACAUCUUCAAAGCUCGUCAUGUAUGAGUUAGCAGCAUCGCCAGUGAGAGCUUCCCUCUCUUGCACCUACUCCUCACCCUUUCGGAUCAGCUCUUCAUCCUUCUUGGUCAGCUCCCCCUUUAGUCUUUCCACUUCAGCUUGGAGCUCCGUGUUCUUGUUGGAUAAUUCUAGGGCUUCCUUGGAAUUCUCAGUCAGGAGAGUCAUAGCCUCUUCUUGUGUUCGCUGGAGCUCUUCGAGGAGUCUGGCUGUUUCUUGCUUGAGACCCUCCACCUGCUGCGAAAGCUCGACAACCUUGUGAGAUUCCUCUUUAGCUGAGCCUUUCCACCCCCGCAUCUUGGAAAUGGCCAAACAAUUGGCAGCCAAGGCCUGCCCCAGUUGCCUCACUGCCUGCUCCACUGGCUGGUCCUCCUCCAGGCUCUCCAACUUUUCCUUGGCCUUGGCGGAUAGGAGGAUCUUCUUGAGGAAAGAAGGGGCAUCCAAGCUAGGAUCCCACAGUCUUCCCUCUGGAGCGCUUGUACCCUCAUCCUCCUGCACCACCACCAUGUCACGAGAAUGAGGUGGGCUUGGCAGAGGGGCUUGUGGAGAAGGAGCACGCCCAUCUAAGACAGAAUGCUCAGAGGGCUCGGUGUCAGCCUUGCACCUCCUUUUGAAGACCGACUCGGAAUAGGUCUCCUCAUCUUCAGUAGGAGCAGGGACAACCUCAGCAACAACUUUAAGCUUCAGGUCCUGGACAGGGCGAGCUUUGGUCGUUUCCUUCAUCUUCUUGGUCGUGGUUGCCACGUCCUUCUUGUUCAAUCUACCCAGCAUACUGUCUGCAAAAGAACAAAGGUAGAUCAACAAGCAAACACACAAGUUAACAUCAGUAAGAGCAAGAGGACGAAGGAUACCAAUGUAAGCUUUUAAUCCUACUGGGGAGAACUUUUUACUUAUGAGGGUUCGUGUGUCAAAAACUACCUUCAAGUUGGAGAAGAAGAGGCACACCUCUUGGUCCCAUUGUGGCAUGUCCUUUAGGCACCGAGCACCUUGGAAGUUGGGGUUCUGGGUCCAGUACAAAGGGAACCCAUGAAGAAGGAUAGCGUCCCUCUUGUUGCAGCGAAUUUUCAAAAACUUGCCCUUAAAACCCUUGUAAGACUAUUGGAACAGCGAAAUAAAUGCUCUCUCAACCACUCCAUUGAAGGAGACCCAUAGUUGGCAGCCCAGGAGUUUGGCCUCAAAGAAAUAUAAAAAGACCUCUACAAAUGACAGAUGGCCGAUAAGGGUGCAGAGAAUGGAAAAACCCCGAACAAAUGCCCAACUAUUUGGAUGUAGCUAGGUUGGGGAGACAUUUAUUUCAGUGAGGAGUUCUUUUUCAAAGUUAUACAAAGGUAAGCGAACAAGAACCUUUUUUAAGACAGUGGUGUAGAAAUAACAGAAAGGACCGUUUGGAUUUGAGGACUCAUUGCAACAAACAGGCUCGUCCUCCCUACACGACACUACUCUAAGACCCCUAUCAUUUUCCCUACCAAGAGUACAUUUUUUAUAGCACUCGCUUUUCAUGUACAACACUAUCUGUUCGGAAGAGGUGUACAUAGAGGUUUCCUCUAUAAGAUUAUCAGGAGACCAGGGGUACAAGUUUUGGUAAUCCAUCACUAAGAGUAUCUAAAACAAGAAAAACAAACAAGUAAAAUACAAGCACACAUUCAGGCAGUGAAAGCAACACGCAUUCCAAAUUCAAGAAAGACGACGAAGCUAAACAAAGAUAACAAUCAUAAUCGAAUGAAUACAGAAAAGUCCUAGAAUAGAUUAUGUGUUCAUGAUGAAAGUGUUAAAUGAUACCAGUACAUAAGUCAUAAGUCAGGGAAGGUACCUUGAUUCAAAGAGUGAGUCAAGGCGAGGAGGUUGCCCAGGUUAAUGAAAGAAGUGCAGAGAGUUUGAGUGAAGGCGCAAAAGCUUUGUAAAGGAGAGAUGUAACAUUGAGAAACAACGAAGUUUUUCGAACGUUAAAAGGCACAUUGUUGGGAAGAGUAAGCGAUGUUGCCUUUCAGUCGUUGAUACGGGCCACGUGUGCAUUCAUGAUGAAGGGUGGUGAGAUGGCCACUCAGAAACGCUUCGUGCGUCGCGCCACACGCGCCACUACCCACAAGACAUGUAAGCAACCAAGGGCGAGCAAAUAGCCUCUUUGUUGAAGCAAGCUCAGCUCGAUCCUAGGGGGAUUGUGUAAUGGACCAGAGCGCUCAAAGCUUAGCGCUCGGAGGUCGAACCUCAGCAUUUGCCGUAGGCAGGUCAGGUCGGCUCUUGGGCUAUGGGAUUGGGCCCUAGAUGUGUGUGUUGGUUCCUUUUCGUGUAACCCAUUGCGCAUAAGGCCUAGGCGACUAAUGAGGGAUACUUUUGGACCUUGGGGUGUACUUAGUACGCAAGGGGUCUAGCUUAAGUGAACGUUUCCUUUUAAAACCUAAGCCCAUGUGUGAUAGGGCAUGCAGAGGUUAGGUUGCAUGUGUUCAAAAGAUAGCGUAGCACCACGCUGAGGGUGGCUACGUAAACAAAUUGAACCUUUGAUGCUGGUACAUGAGUUGGUACCCUGGUAGUUAUUCUGUUACACUAGUACAAAAAGAAGAAAAGAGCGCUCUUUAUUUAAUGCGGCUCUGCGCUUAAACGCAUUCGUAAAAAACACGGUGGCAUUUUUUAAAUUAAUUUGAUUUACAAAUGCGGUUGUUUGAAUAACCACAUUUGUAAAUCAAAAAGCUUAAUUUCCAAAUGUGGUUUUUACGUUUAGCCGCAUUUGUAAAUGCUUUUUACCUUAAAUGCUUUUUACAUUUAGCCGCAUAGUUUCUUUCAGUUCUUUCGUUUGCUCUGUUCAUCCUCUUCGUUUGCCUCUCGUUUGCGCACUUCAUUGAAUUGGUCGAAGAUAAAGGAGGCUUUUAUUAAUGGAGGAAAAGGACAUCCACCCUCAUAUUUGAAGUUCUUCCUCUAGUCUUCUCAAAAUUAAAAGAAGACAUAAAAUAAAGAUGAGGCCCAAGCCCAAACCCAAGAAGGCCAAAGCCCAAAGAGCCCAAGUCCAUCCCAUGAGGGGCAAGGCCAAGCUUUGAAAUACUCUUGUAUAGUUUUAGGAGGAGUGGUUAUUAAAUAAAGGAGUGUGAAAAUGUAAAAUAAAGUCACAUUACCCAUGUGACUUAGGAGAGUGGUGUAGGUGUAGUUUUUGGGAGGUGUCAUAGUAGAAAAAGGUCACACCUCCCAUGUGACUUGUUUUUGGUGGGAAUUUGAAAUGAGUUUAUUUGAAAUUUCCCACCUAUUUUUCAGCACCUCUAGGCUAUAAAUAUAGGUGCUUCCUUUGUAUUUUUCAGAAUGGAAUUUAUCUAAAGAAACUAUACUCAAAUUUGGAGUGAGCAUUGGAGAGCUUUUGAGCCUUCUUCUCUAGUCUUAUCUAGAAGGAUCCAUGGUGUCCUCAAGUGGCGGCAGCACACUCAUCUAGGAGCAACCACACUUCUAGUGGCGUGACCAUUCAUCAUUCAUCCAUCUUCAUGAGCAAUUCUCUUCUCCUUCAUUUCUUCUCUUUUAAUUGUUCAUGUUGUCUUGUUUUCUUGAGUUUUUGGUUCGGUUCUUUAGUUUUUCCAGCAGCUGUUAUUGUUCUUCUUUGUGUUUGGUUCGGUUGUUCUUAUUUUCCAGCAAGUACUUUCAGUUCUUUGCCUUUCAAUUACAUUUUGUUCGGUUCAUAUGUGUUCUUGUUCAAUUCUAUUCGGUGUUUUUAAGUAUUACCUCUUUUUGUUGGUUAAAUUUGAGAAUAUGAGGAACUUCCAUGUGAGUUUGGAUUUGGUGCUAGUUUUGGUGAGUUCUUGACUUAGAACAUUGAUCCAAUUCUAAGAAAAAGUGCCUAACAUUUGUCCAACUCAAGUUGAUUCCCAAGAAUGUCAAGAAUCAUUCUCUUCUAUGCUAUUGGAAUCACAUCAUCUUAAAUGCUUUUUACGUUUAGCCGCAUAGUUUCUUUCAGUUCUUUCGUUUGCUCUGUUCAUCCUCUUCGUUUGCCUCUCGUUUGCGCACUUCAUUGCAUUGGUCGAAGGUACGUAUAUUGAUUCCAGAGGUUCGCUUUCUUCCUUUCAAUCUUCACAUUGGCUUUCGUUUUUAAUGCCUUUCGUUUCCUUCCAUUGUUGGUCGAAGGCACUGUUUCAUUGGCGGCUCUCCGUUGCUGCUCCGCCACUGCUUCCGCUGCCGUUGUCGCCGCCGCUGCCGCUGUUCCUCUUGCUCCCUUACCACUCUUCACCACCAACUUGGUUCACGCACAAGGUUGGUUUUUAAAUUUUUAAAUUUUUUUUUUGCAUUUUUGUUUUGUUUUAUGUAUUAUAAUUUAUUGUGUAUUUUAAAUUUUAUAUUAUUUAGUAUUUAUUAUAUUUUGAAUUUGUAUGUUUUUUAUGUAUUAUAAUUUGUAUUUUUCAAAAUUUAUAUUAUUAUAAUUUAUAAUUUGAAUUUGUAUGUUUUUUAUGUAUUAUGUAAUUUAUAUUAAAAUUUAUAUUAUUUAGUAGUUAGUUGUUACUUUAUAUGUUAUAUUUAGCAAUAAUACGUUAUGGUAUUGAGUCCGAGGGUGUUCGACCCUCGGUAAACGCGUGAGAUAUAAAAAUUCUAAUUAUUCUAUAAUAUAUAAUGGAUAGAAAUUGGAUGAAUUAUGUUCGUAUAAUUGAGGAGAACGAAAGAGGAGUAGAAGAAUUUAUACAAUUUGCACAACGUAACGCGAUUAAUAGUGGUCAUGAUGGAGCAAAGAUUAGGUGUCCAUGCGUUAAUUGUUUGAAUGGAAGGAUACUGGAUGUUAAUAUAAUGAGGGAGCACCUGUUAUGUGAUGGGUUUCUUUGAUCUUAUACAACUUGGACAUGGCAUGGUGAAUUAUUAAAUUUACCAUGUGUUUCUAUAACUGAAGAAUGCGUGGGGUCCACCAUGGAUGAAGUAGUACACGAUGAUGUAGAUGAUGAUCGAUUGGAAGACAUGAUUCGUGAUGUAGGAGCUGAGUCUUUUACAAAAGCGCAUGGAUAUGAAAGUAUGUCAAGCGAUGCAGAGACUCCAUUGUAUCCUGGAUCAACUAACAUCACACGGUUGUCAGCGGUGUUAAGAUUGAUGAAUUUGAAGGCAAUAAAUGGAUGGACUGAUAAAAGCUUCACGGAAUUGCUUUAGUUGUUGAAGGAUAUGCUUCCAGAGGGAAAUACUCUACCUAAUCGUAAUUAUGAGGCCAAAAAGAUUCUUUGUCCAAUGGGUAUGGAGUAUAAAAAGAUACAUGCAUGUCCUAAUGAUUGUAUAUUAUACCGAAAAUAUUUUGAAUUGUUGAAAAGUUGUCCGAGGUGUCCGAGGUGUCCGAGGUGUCGGUUAUCACGUUAUAAGUUGAAACAAAAAGAUGAUGAUACUAUUGAAGAUAUAGAAAAGCAUGGACCCCCAAUGAAGGUUAUGUGGUAUCUUCCCAUCAUUCCAAGGAUGAAGCGUUUGUUUGCAAACCCAAACGAUGCUAAGAAUCUUAGAUGGCAUGUAGAUGAGAGGAAAUGUGAUGGCAUGUACCGACAUCCAGCUGAUUCUAUUUAGUGGAAGAAAUUUGAUGAUGAGUUUCCAGAGUUUGGUAAAGAAUCAAGAAAUAUCUGACUUGGUUUAGCUACAGACGGAAUGAAUCCGUUUGGUAAUAUGAGUACAAAUCACAGUUCAUGGCCUGUUUUACUAGUUAUUUACAACUUACCUCCUGGAUUGUGCAUGAAGCGAAAAUACAUGAUGUUGUCUAGGAUGAUAUCCGGUCCGAAACAGCCAGGGAAUGAUAUUGAUGUAUAUCUAAGUCCUUUAAUUGAAGAUUUGAAGUUAAUGUGGGACCAGGGUGUUGAAGUAUUUGACGGAUUUGCUAAUGAAACUUUCAAGCUUCAUGCCAUGUUAUUUUGCACCAUCAAUGACUUUCCAGCAUAUGGUAACUUAUCAGGUUAUAGUGUUAAGGGUCAUAAAGCAUGUCCAAUAUGCGAAGAAGACAUUGCUUCUCAACAAUUGAAAUAUGGAAGGAAAACAGUAUAUCUUCGGCAUCAGAGGUUUCUUAGAAGUCAUCAUCCUUACCGGAGGUUGAAAAAAAGCCUUUAAUGGACCCCAAGAGGCUAGUGGUCCACCAACUCCAUUAACCAAUGUUGAGGUUUACAAAAAGGUAAAUAACAUAGACCACAGGUAAGUAAAAAAAAAAGUCAUAUGUGACAAACAUUUGGAAGAAGAAAUCAAUCUUCUUUGAUCUUCCGUACUGGUCGAGGUUAGAAGUCAAACAUUGUAUAGAUGUAAUGCAUGUUGAGAAGAAUGUGUGUGAUAGCUUAAUUGGUACACUUCUUAACAUUAACGGGAAGACGAAGGAUGGUUUAAAUGCUCGUUUAGAUUUGAUUGAGAUGAACAUACGCGGCGAGUUGGCACCCAUAGAAAUGGGUAAGCGUACAUAUUUGCCCUCAGCCUGUUACACAAUGUCAAAAGAUGAAGAAAUUAGUUUUUGUCAAAGUCUAAAGGGUGUGAAAGGGCCACAAGGACAUUCCUCAAAUGUGAAGAGCCUGGUGUCAAUGCAAGAUUUUAAGUUAACUGGGUUGAAGUCUCAUGAUUGUCACAUCUUGAUGCAACAGUUGUUGCCGGUAGCUAUCCGUAGGAUCUUACCAAAAAAUGUUAGACAUACCAUAACCCGUUUGUGCUCAUUCUUCUCUUCCAUUUGUUGUAAAGUCAUUGAUCCAUCAAAACUAGAUGAACUUCAAAAUGAAAUUGUUGUUAUCUUGUGUGAAUUGGAGAUGUUUUUUCCUCCGUCUUGAUUCAUCUAGUGGUGCAUCUGGUAAGAGAGGUUAGAUUGUGUGGACCAGUGUACUUAAGAUUGAUGUAUCCUGUUGAGCGGUAUAUGAAAAUUUUGAAAGGUUAUGUGAAAAAUCAUUAUCGUCCAGAGGCUUCAAUGACUGAAAGGUACAUAGCUGGAGAAAGUAUUGAAUUUUGUUCAGAGUAUAUGACAAAAGCAAAUCCAAUAGGUGUUCCAGCUAAUUCAUGGCACCACAGGCGUUCUACAGGUAAAUGUUUACGUGGUGUUAAUAUUGUAAGCAAAUCUCGAUCAGAAGUCUUGCAAGCACAUUUGUACAUAUUGAAUAACACAGAUGAAGUUAUAUCUCACAUAGAAGCUCAUAAAGCCAUUGUGAAGGCAAAUAACCCAAGACAGGCAGAGAAAUGGGUUUUAAUGAAACAUAAUAGAACUUUCAUGCCUUGGUUUAACGACGAGGUGUUCAAGGAUUCAACGGCAUCAGAGACCUUGACCUGGUUGGCUGUUGGAUUGAAGUUUGAUGUCAUCUCAUGUACAACGUACAAAGUGAAUAAUAGUAUAUUUUACACGAAGUCCAUGGAUGAAAAGAGUACAGUUCAAAAUUCUGGUGUUACUCUUGAAGCCAAGUCAAUGCAGUUUUCGACUUCGAAAGAUACAAAUCCAGUACUUGGAUCAAUGGCAUACUAUGGGUUUAUAGAAGAGAUAUGGGAGGUUGACUACACUAAGUUUUUCGUUUCAGUUUUCAAGUGUAAAUGAGUUGACAAUAAAAGUGGGGUUAAAAUUGAUGAUUCAAGAUUCACACUAGUGGACUUUUGAAAGAUAGGGUAUCGAGAUGAGCCAUUUAUUAUGGUUCAACUAGCAUCUCAAGUUUUCUACGUGAAAGAUCCUACGUCAGAACAUUGGUAUGUCGUUUUACACGGGAAAAAACAAGGGGAGGCCAUAGAUGAUAUUGAAAAUGGUGACCCCCGUUCAUUCACACCAAUGAUAAUUAAUAAAGUUGAUGAUGUACUUGAUGAUGUACAUGCAACCCGUAAAGACCACAGUGAAGGAAUUUACAUAUGAACUUUCAACCCACAUGCAACCUGUAAAUAAGCAUUUAGAUUUAGAAUUUUAUGUAUUGUUUUUAUAAGAUUUUAAUUCGAUGCAGAUUAACUAAUGUUUGUUACCUAAUUUUUUUAACAGAGACAUGGAUGACGAUCAGACCCCACUCAGACCUCGAUCCGGACGAGGUAGCAAAGGACCUACUAGAUUGAAGCGUCUCGCAUUGAGACGUGCUGCUGGUGAGAAGACACGUGUUGACAUUGACGUCAACACUGGAGUGUCUUUUGGUCCUAAAGGAGAUAAGUUUAUGAGCUAUCUUGGAGUUGUUUCUCGUGAGAGGCUCUCCAUUCUGGUUAAUUUAUGGGAUGAGGUGUCAGAGGUCGACCGGAACAUGAUCUGGGAGGAUGUUCUGGUAAGCUUUACAUUUUGAUAUAAUGCUUUUUAAUAUUCAUUGAUUAAUUUUAAUUUGCUGAUGUUAUUUUGCAGACAAACUUUGAAAUUCCUGAUGUGGAACCGCUUCGAUCAAAGAUUAUAUCCAAUAUCGGACUUAAAUUUCGUACCUUUAAGUCAAGACUAACUUCGAGAUACGUUUUUGGCGACCUUAAAGACGAAAAUCCAUGUUUAAAGUACAAACAUAUUGAUGAAGAGACAUGGCGUCUUUUUAAAGAAAGCCGUCAAAAUGAGGAUUGCAUGGUAAGUGAAGUAACUUAACUUUUUUUGUUUAUAUAACAUUAAUAAAUUUAUCUUAUUUACUUCACUUUGUUUAUUUCAAUUAUGACAGAAUCGUCGGAAGAAAGCUCAAGAGAUUGCUUUGAAGAAUGUUACCCCGCACGUUAUGUUUCGUUCGGGGUAUCGAAAACUUGAGCAAGCACUGAUGGUGGAAAAGUAGCAAUCUAAACAGGGGACAUUGUCUGAGAAUGUGGAAACAGGGGUCACUUCUCCUCCAUCACCACCUUUUCGCCAUGUAAAAUGGAAGAGGGCCCGAAUUAAAAAGUUGGGUGCACCAAGUUCUGAGCAAUCCGGGGUUAUCAUUGAAAAAAUUGUAAGCUAUUUUUUUUUAUUUUCAUUUAUUUUAAAGCAUUAAUUAUAUUAAAAAUUGAUAUGAUUUUUAUCUACUCUUGCAGGAUUCCUUGAAAUCCGACGGUAAAUUUGUUGUUGAAGGUCGUCACGAUAUCCUGGUUGAAGCAAUUGGACGACCUGAGCAUUGUGGUCAUGUUCGUACAGCUGGACAAGGGGUUGGAAUUAAACUAUAUUUUGGAGUUUCAGAACGACAGUCAUCCUCCUCCUCCAAAGAGAACGAAACUCAAUUGAAGACUAAGAUACGUGAAGAAUUAAUGGAGGAGAUGAGAAAGGAGACUAAUUUGAUGCGGCUAGAGAUGAAAAAGGAGAAUGACCGAAUGCGACAAGAGUUUCUAUCACAACAACUUUGUGUUGAGCCGAUUGAACCCCUUGUUAGUCCCACUCCCAAUAGCACAAAGGGGAGUUGUGCGGCUCCUCCAACAUCAGGGGAUGAUAUCAUUGGGCAGACAAAGGAUUGUGAGCUACUGGUAGUGGGCGACAAACUUCCUCGAGUGGUGGCCCUUGGAAAAGUCUAUCAAGACACCACCACCUUACAUAACGUCCCUCUCUCGCUUGAUGUGGCGAAGGUAACAGUUGAAAAAGUACGAUUUCCUGAUGCUCGUGUUCCACUACCUUCAGAUGAGGUAACCACUGUGGCUGAUGCAUUUCAGACACUCGUUGCCUGGCCCAGAGACCUCAUUCGAUUUAUGCCCGAACCUCAUGUAAUAAUUUCAUUUCAUUAUAUUAUUUUUUAAUUAUAUUUAUAUAUUACAUAUAAUUUAAUACAAAUGUUCUUUAUCUUGUAGAAACAUUUUCGGGCACCAAGUCCGGAGAAGAAGCGUGAGGUUCCAAUUGACAAUCAUAUAGCUUCAUUAGGUCUCAUUGCUAGUCAGAUUGGUAAUGAACCUUUUCCAGUUCCGUGGGAUGAUACAUUUUUUCAAAUAAACACUGAACUGCCACUGAUGAUGUACAACACAGAUUUAUUAGAAUUUAUAUCUGGGAAUCAGGAACUCAAUAUAAGUAUAAUUCAAUUUUUUAUGAUAUCAGUAUCUUUACCUAUUAUUCAAUUUACUUUAUGUUAAAUUAUUAUUGAUUAUGCUUUAACUAAAAACUUGUAGGUUUUUGCAUAGAGUCUGUAUCACUGAGGGGAAGGAAAAUGUGUAUGGAUUCUUAAAUCCUGCAUAUACUAAUCACGUUGGACCAAGGUCAUUUGAGACUCAAGCAUACAUCACUAACACCCUGGAAAAAGAGGGAAAUUUUUUUUAUUUAUGCCCUUAUGUUAAUGAGUAAGUUUAAUUAUAUGUCAUCAAUUAUUACUAUUUCAUGUUUUAAAUAUUUACUAACUCUUUUCAUGGAUGAUAUAGGCAUCAUUGGCAGUUACUUGUCUUAUCAAUGGUUGAUAAGACUAUUGUGUGGUUAUUUUCCUUACACAAGAAGAUUCCCAUAAAAUUUAAGGAUAUCAUUGAUACGUAAGUACAAAUUUAAGGAUAUCAUUGAUACGUAAGUACAGUAUAAACUUAACUUUGUAUGUUACUAAUUAACCAUCUACUAACGAGGUUUUUUGUAUUAACCAGUUCAUGGCGUGGAUAUAACAUCCUAAAAGGUCGAUCCAGUUUAAAUAAUUUGAACUACAUAAGAAUAAAGGUUUGUAAUUUUUUUCUUUCUCUAUUAUCAUUGUUUAUCAAUAUACUAACAUAUUACUUUUUAUUGAAUUAUAGUGUAAUAAACAACCAGGAAGCUAUGAGUGUGGCUAUUACAUUAUGCAAUGAAUGAUUACCAUUAUAAGACUAGGUGUUAAAACUGGUUGGAAAGAGGUAAUAACAUGAUAUGUUAAAUCAUUUUUAUAAUUCUUGAACAUAUAUAUAUCUAAAAACUAAUUUAUGUCAACUAUAUUUUGCAAUGCAGUUAUUCACGGAAGAAACACCAAUGAAUUUGGAAGGAAUUUCAUAUGUCAGAGAUUCUUGGUACACAUAUUUCAUAAAUUUUUAUAACUCUAGCAUAGUUAAUCAAUAGUGUAGGUUUUAUUAUGUAAUUUGAUUACUUGUAAAUGUACAUUUUGAUUCUCUCAAUUUAUCUCUAUAUUUCUGUAUUUGUCUGGCUGGGUUUGAUCAUUAUGCAGGUUAAUUUAUAUGGUUUAGGGACAAUACAAAUUGCACUUUAAGAAAAAAACACUAUUUACAAAUGCAGUUAUUUACCAAAGUCGCAUUUGUAAAUCAAAAAACAAGAUUUACAAAUGCAGCUAUUACCAAAGUUGCAUUUGUAAAUGUGAUUUACGAAUGCGGCUAUUACCAGAGCCGCAUUCGUAAAUCUUAAACCCCUAAAACCUUAGCUCAUUCAGAAGAAUAUACAAAUGCGGCUAUUUGAAAUAACCGCAUUCGUAAAUCGCAUUUACGAAUGCGGCUCUAUAGCCGCAUUUGUAUCUCUCUGAUUUACGAAUGCAUUUUAUCAAAUGCGGCUCUAUAGCCGCAUUUGUAAAUGUAAAAUAGCCGCAUUUGAUUAUCAUUUUUGCGCUAGUGUUAGGAUUUUAUGCACUCUAUGAGGUGAAUAUUUCGUUCUGUUGCGACACUGUGAGGGUGUGCUUUGAGCGAAAUAUCUUUUUGUUGAGUAUGCUUUCAGUUGAGAUUAUAUUCUUGUGAUAGAAAGUUGUUACAAGAGUGGGCUAUAAAAGGGACUUGAGAUCUCAGGUAAAGGUAUGCUAUUUCUAAGACUGAAACUAGUUACUUCUUGUUUCUUAUUAGCCUUAUAUUAACUUGAUCGUCGAAGUGCAAUCAACAGGUAAGACCCCCUCUGUUUCAGUGGAGAUACGUUCCAGAGCAGCAAGAGACAGAUAAAGCUAGAGCUUGUGAUUGGAGUCAACUGGCGAGCAGGUCAAUCGGCAAGAACAAGAAUGAUAUUUGUUUUGAAUAUUAUUAUAAUUGUAAUUAGUUAUUUUCAAUUCUAAAUAAAAAUAAGAAUAGAGGGUUUGGCCAUCGCUAAAUCAUGUGUGGGCUAAGUUGACGCUACUUUGUGCGUGGGCUAAGCCGACACUACUUCUUUCGUAUGCGUGGGCUAGAUCGUCGCUACUUUAUCUGUGGGCUAAUUCGUCAGUACUUCAUGCGUGUGCAUGGGCUAGACCGACUUACUUUAUGUGUGGACUAAGCUGACACUACUUUAUACGUGGGCUAGGCUGAGCCUAACACAUACUUUGACCAACAUUAGUUAUCACUAUAAUUAUGAUUUCUUAAAAUUAUAUUUUAUCAAAAUAUUAUUUUUAUUAAGAUUAUUUUAUUUCAUUAUCAAUAGUUAUAUAAUAAAUCUUGAUAAGAAUAACUUUUUCCUUUAAUUUUUUAUUAUAAAUAUAGUUAUUUCUAUUUUAUAAUUAUUAAUAUAGGUAUUAUUAAUAUAAUUAUUGAUAAUAUGUUCAGAAUGUUGUUUUUAAAAUUUUGUUUGGUUGAACAUUCCGUUUGCAUUUGUUUUAGGUUCUUUUGAGUAAAUUGUUUUAUUUUUUAUUUUAAUUGAGUCUUAUUGUGUUUUCAAUCGAUGCAAAUAAAUUUGGUUGAGUCAUUUUAAUUUUUGAAUCAAUACAAGUAUUGUUUAAAAGUCAUGUUCAUCCAAAUUGUCAUCAAUUCUAUGUAGUACUUUUAUUGUUAAUUUUGGUUCUUUGAUUUAAUUUGAUUAGAAGUUUAAUUCUGAAUUUGAGUUUUGGUACAUUUUAAUAUUUUCAAAUUUGAGUUCAUACUUGUAGUUAGUUCCAUACAAGUUCAAUUUCCACUUAAUUCCAUUAUGUUUUCGAAGUUUUCAAUUAUGUUUUUAAUUCUAGUUUAGGAUUCCUCUAUUUUAAAGUUUAUGUGUUGGCUGAAAACGUUUAUUACAAUUAAUUGUGCCAAUGAAAAUUGUGAAAUUCUGGAUUUCAGUACAUCUAUGUGUUAAGAAAAAUUGAAAAAAAGAAGUACAUCAAAAUUCAAAAUAGAAAAAAAAUGACAAAUGAAAAACGAAUAGAGUAUAAAAAAAAUUUGACUCUGGAAAAUUUGAAUUCACAGUGAAUUUGAAAAAAUUAUUGGAAUUAAUUGGCGCACUGUUUGUGUGAAAUUCCAGUGCCAAUAUUGAGUUUGAAAAUUGAAGUUUAUGUGCUUCAAAUUUCAAGUCCAAAUUUGAAUUAAUCUGUCCAACUUAAAUUCAGAAAGUUGAGAAAAUUUUACACAAAAAAAAUUAUAGUGCAAUUUUUGUUUUCUUCAUUUAUUCUAGUGUCAUUCUAUAGGAUUCAGUUUGAGUGCUACCUUUUCUUGAGAACCUUAAUUUUUUUGCUUAUGAAUAUCUUGAUGAAUCCUUCAAGUCAUGUCAAUUACCAAAUCCAUUUGCACUAGUCCUUAUUUUUAAAUUUGACUUCUGUUGCUUUUAAAUUGUUUGGCCUCUCUUGGUGGAAGUGACCUAAUUUGCAUUGGUGAGUUGUGGAGCUGAAAUUUUGUUGUGCAAGCCACAUUACUAAAGAGGUAAAACUGAGUACCUUAGGUUGAAUAUCCUAAAGAGGCAAAGCAAGGAACAACAACAACCUCAAAAAAAUUACACAAAACACAAAACAAAAGGAGAUACAAGUUGUGGAGUGCAUAUAAUCGGUCAUUGAAAUUUUUAGUGCAUAAAAUUGUUGACCUAAUUUUUAUUGUAUUUCUUUGAGUUGUAAUUUGCAAAAAAUUGAUUACUUAGUGGAUUAAUUUUGUUUUUAGUUCGGUGAGUGUGUCUUCAAGGUACAAAGUGUUAGAAUGUAUGGCUUUAAACUAGAGGGGGGUGAAUGGUUUAAAGAGGGUUUUCGCAAACUUUUUAAGAUAGAAUGAAAUUCUUUGCAAGAAACCAGAUUUAGAAAUUCAGUUUGCCAAGAACAAAGCUCAAAACAGAAAAACACCACAAAAACAAUCGGUUGUUUAUACCAGUAAAAAUAAUAACAAUUGAAAUUAAAGAGUUUAAGACAGAAAUGCUCAAACAGUUUAUAUUGGUUCCCUCUUAACCCAAGAGCUACGUCCAGUUUCCCAGAAACCACUAGGGAAUCCACUAGGUAAUCCACUAGGUAAUCAAAUCCAGAUUACAUACACAUACCACCAAAGAAGUGACCUUAAUCCCCUUAAGACACACACUUCCUUUUGCUCAACACACACUCCACCAAGAAUGUUGAUCUUGACAACCCCAAGAGCACACAACCCUUCUUGGCUUUACAACACCAGAAUGUACACAAUUCUUUAGAACGAAUUACACUGUUACAGAAUCAACUGAAAUCAAUACAGAGUAAUCCUAUUCCACUUCUCUCUUGAAUAACCAAAGCUCAAAGUGAAAACUCAAAUCUUUGAAAAGCUCUUUGAAAAACUCAAAUAUGUUUUUCUUUCUUGUUGAUUGUUAUAAAACAUUAACAAACUAUUUAUAGUAUUCAAAUAUUGGUCAAAGCAUUUAAAGCAGGAGCAUAUUCAGUUAUGAAAUCAAUUAAAGCUCUUUUAACAAACAAAAUUGUUUCUGUUAGGAUUCCAAACAAACAAUCGGUUGAAAUAGCGAAUCAAUCGGUUGUUUUGGUUUGAUAGCAAGUCAAUCAUCCAAAAUAGUUUUCAAACAUUUUCAAAAACACCUAAGUAUAAAACAAUCGGUUGUUUCGACAAAACAACAGGUUGUUUUUCACUUAGUUUGAAAAACACUUUAAACUUAAAAGAUUUGAAAACACUUAAGCUUUAGAUUCAACAAAGAGUGGAUUACAAAUAUAAUCUACCCCAGAUCCUUUUCUAAAGCACCUCUACAACGUCAAGCACCUUCAGCCUUCCAUCAAACACAAAGGAUUUGGAUUCUUCAAAGCUUGAACACUCUUGAUUCAACAAUCUCCCCCUAUUUGAUAAGACAAAUCCCUGGUUGCUUGUGUUUAACUUGAUUGAAUCUGAAGCAGUUCCUGCAAAACAAAUUUUAAGCAAAGCAUCAUAUCUCUGAUAGUAGGUUAGAACAGUAAAACAAAACAUGUUUUGUUUAACCAAAACAACAGCCAAAAACCACCAAAAAUACUAGCAUAUCAGCAGAAUUAAAGUUCACUUAAAGAAAACAUAGAGUUUGCAGAAAAUAAAAGACAACACAGCAUAAAAUCUCCCCCUAUUUGUCUUCACAAAUAGACAAUAAGAAGAGAUAAAAAAAAGGCAAUUGUUCCAGAUUAUACAGAAUUUAAAAGAAAACAACACUUUUAGAUACAAGACAAAAACAAUCGGUUGUUUCGAGCCUUCAACCGGUUGUUUUUCUCUCUUCAGUCAUCUUUGCCAUACUAAAGCUCAAAAAUCUGGUUUUGAACAACUUCAAUAUUUUCAUCCAUGGUCAUAAAGAGAUUGUCCAUUGUCUGAAAUCUGUUGUCAAUGCUCAGGAAAUUGGUCACACAAAGAUCAUGGAGAUUUCUUUGAUUCUCAGCAAAGCCAUCAAGUCUAUUCACCAUGUAUCUUUCAAAGGAAGACAUAGAAGGAAUCUCAUCUCCUUGAUGUCCUGCACUGGUUCCAGCAUCAAAGGUAGCUGGAUGAUCUUCAUUGUGAAUGUCCAUGUAAGCAGCUUGACCUUCUUCAUCAAAGUUAGCAGUUGCAGCACUUGAUGAACCACAAUGAUCACCAUCUUUGCUCACCCAUCUUCCACUUAUUUUGGUGAAUCCCAUAUUGCUUAGAGAACCAUUAUUCAUUUAUUGUGUUGAUUUAACCAGCUUAGAGGUCUCAUCUUCAAGAUUCACUUCAAAAUAGAGCAAGAAUUUAUAGAUUAAAACAACAUAGGGAUAGUGGUAGUCACUUAACCUCAUGGAUUUUUGCAUAUGUUCUUUGAUGAUAUGAAUCCAGUUGAUCUUGAUCUUCUUCACGAUGCAGUAGAUGUAAAAAGAUCUUGAAUCACUCUCACUAAAACAAUUGCAACAUGAGAAUCAAGUUUUAGAAGAAAAGAAAGAAAAAGUUGCUCAUCUUGGAAUUCUAUAAGAAGAAUUGAAAAUUGCUAGAGAAAAAGAUGAACAUAUUAGAAAAUUAAAAAAAUCAUAUGCAUAUAGUUCUAGGUCUAGUGAAUUCCAUGCCGAGAAAGAAAGUCUUAGAAUUAAUUAUUACUACCAACCUACACCUAGAAGAACUAGAAGAGAAAGCCAACAAAUAGAGACUAGGGGGACCUACCUUAUUUUUAUGGAAAAGAAAAUGUUAAAGACUAUCUAGAUUGGGAAGUGAAAGUAGAAUAACUUUUUGCCUGCCAUAGUGUGAGUGAAGAAAGAAAGGUACCCCUAAUAACUUUAAGCUUUCAAUCUAAUGCAAUGUAUUGGUGGACAACCCUAGAAAGAGAUAGCGUCUCAACAAGGACCCUCCCAUAGCAUAUUGGAAUGAUCUUACGGGAGCCUUGAGACGCCACCAUAUUCCUUCUUACUACAAUAGGGAGUUGAUGGGCAAGCUCCAAAGACUCCAACAAGAGACCAUAAGUGUGGAGGAAUAUAGGCAAAAGAUGGAGCUCUACAUGAUGAGAGCCUCUAUUAGGGAGAAAUGACAACAUUUUCUAGGUUCCUUAGUGCUCUCAAUCUUGAGAUAAGAGAUAGAGUCACAAGCACGAAAGGUGAAUGAGUGAGUAUUCUGUUGAAGAUGGCUUUACUUCAAUAAAGGAUUGAUGCCCAGGAAGUAGAGUAGCUGUUGAUGAUUAUUGUCGACAGCACCAUGUGGGUUUCACGGUAUUUUCUACCAACUUUAAUGAAUUAGUCUAUUUCGGUGGCUUACUUUAUGAAUAAAGACAACCAACCCACUAUUAAUUCGGUCCAUUUCCCAUUUUUGUUUUUUCUUUUAGCAUGAGUGCUUCCUUAUUCAAAAUGGUCUGGAGUGUAACAACAACUAUAUUUUAUUAAUUAAAGAGUCUCAAGUAGUAAUCUUGCAAAGUUUUGAAAAACUUCUUUCAAAACUAAUCUCAAUCUCACUUUGUUUGAUUUCAAAUUGUGUAAAAAGAACUUGUGUUUUUGUUUCAAAAGAAAAGCUAUAUUUAUAGCACACUAAACUAGCCGUUCUAGGCAACUUUUAUUGCCAAAAAAGUUUUGAUUCACAUCCAAAACAGAUUAACAGGUUUUCAAAAAGCUUUUAUGAAAUGUUACAAUCAACCAGUUGAAAAGUCGUUUUACCCGGUUGAAUUGGUUAGGAAGUUACAUAACCAAGUCAAAAACAAUUUUAAAACCUUUAAACAAGCCGCCAAGUAACAAACAACCAAUUAUUUUGAUAAUUCAACCGGUUGUUUUUCUCUUUGCUUAGAAAAACACUUUUCUUUUUAAAACAGAUUGGGUAUGCUUUGUGCAAGGGUCAAAAACUGAUCUUUACUUAGAUUCUAAACACUCUAAUCUAAACCCAAACCAAAAGCAGCAUAGCUUCAAGCUUCAUCAUGGAUUUGAAACAUCAAAGCUUCCAUGCUCUACAGUUAUGAGGUCGACCUUGAUGUUUGGUAGUUUACGUGAAAAAAAUAAUUAAAGGUAACAAAAGGAAUAGGUGAAUUAGUUAUAAUGUAUAUGUCUAAUAAAUACAAAUAAUAGUUGUUGUGAAUGAUGUGGCAUAACACCCAGAAAUAAAGGUGUUUGUGAACAAAAAGUUUUACUGUUGAAAUUAUAUUCACUUUGAAAUUAUAUUCUUUUCGUUGAAACCAUGCUCUGUUUGUUGAGAUUUUAUUCUCAUUGAUGAAAGUUGUUGAAGGAAUGUCUAUAAAAGGGGUUUGAGACCUAGAGUAAAGGGAUGCUUUUCUAAAUAGACUGAAACAUAUUUUAUAAGUUUGAAUGCUCUUACUGACUUGAGCGUCGGAGUGUGAUCAACAGGUAGAACCCCUUUUGUCCUAGUGGAGCAACAUCGAAGCACCAAAUGAGACAAGUCAGAGCGGAGCUUGCCCAUUCAAUCCAACCGAGGUCAACUGACGAGAACAAAAAUAAAGAUGAAUAUGGGCACAAAGGCCAGAUGAAUACAUACACCUCCCCUUACUCAUACCUAUAUCUUAUUAAUGUCAGUAUUCUUUAUCAAAGUUGAAAUGAGCUUAGACAAAACGUUUAAGUAUGGAUUUAUUUGUUUAUUAUCCUUAGAUAGAUGGGACAAAUAAUAUUGAGAAAACUAUAGUUAAGACGUAGAAAAUUCAAAUAACAGUUGUACGUGUGCGUUGGUCAUGAAUAAGAAAAUUGUAAGAUAAGUUUCAACAUAAAAUGUGAAACAAAAGUGUAUUUAAUUUGGCACUAAAUAAGUAGUUAAGUCCCAUCACAAUAUCCAUUUAUGAUAUUGACGAUAUUCAUACCAAUAGAGCGUAAGAAAAAAAUUAAAUUAUUGUUUAAUAAGUUUUAAAUUAAAUUUCAUCCGUGGAAAAUUAUAUUAUUAAUAUAUUGAAAUUUAUAAUUUAGCUUCUGUAGUUAAUGCAUACAUUUAGGUGAGAGGUUAAAAUUUAGAACACAUUUAGGUGAGAGGUUAAAAUUUAGAACUAUUUAAACAUUCCUACUCACUUAUUUAUAUUUAUAUAGCUUUUUUUGGUAAGGAACCAUCCCUUCUAAUAGCUUGUAAAACAACUUAAACUAACUCUAAUAGCAUGUUUUUCUUAUAUAUAAUAAUUUCCUUAUACCAUAAUUUAUAUAAAAAAAAUACUAGAAAACCAUCUUUCUCUCUUUCAUCUAUCUAUCUUCUCUUUAAUUUCCAUAAGAACAAGUAUUCUUUGUUAUGGCCUUUCUUGAACCUCGACACCUAUUUUUGUCUUGUUUUAUUUUCUUUUUCCUUUUAAACCUUAGUUUUGCAAAGCAAUCAAAGAAAAAUGGUUUGGAAAUGAAUGUUAUUGAUCGAUGUUGGAGACAAAAUCCUGAGUGGAGGAGACACCGAUCUCAGUUAGCCACAUGUUCUGUGGGUUAUGUUGGCAAGAUGAUAAACAACAUUGGUAAUGACCUUAUUCAUUAUAAAGUUACUGACUCUAGUGAUGAUCCUAUAAACCCCAAACCCAACACUUUGAGGUACGGAACUUCUAUUAUUCAAGGUAAAGUGUGGAUCACAUUUCAAAAGGACAUGCACAUUAAACUAGAGAAACCCCUUCUUAUUAGUAGUUUUACCACCAUCGAUGGUCGAGGUGUUAACAUCCACAUUGCUGAUAGUGCAUGCUUGAUGAUCUUUAAGGUAAUCACUUUACUUUCUGCUAAUUAAACAUUAAAAAAAAAUAGUUUUAGAAGUUACUAACUUGUAUGCAUUACUUAUUUGAUUAUAGGCCACCAAUAUAAUUAUCCAUGGCAUUCGAGUUCAUCAUUGCAAACCUCAACCUCCUGGGAUCGUAAUGGGACCUGAAGGAAAAGUGAUUUCUUUAGGCCAAGUAGACGGGGAUGCAAUAAGAUUGGUCACCGCUUCAAAGAUUUGGAUUGACCAUAAUACAUUGUAUGAUUGUCAAGAUGGUUUGCUUGAUGUAACACGAGGUUCCACUGAUGUGACUAUCUCUAAUAAUUGGUUUAAAAAUCAAGAUAAAGUUAUGCUUCUUGGACACGAUGAUGGAUAUGUGAGAGACCAAAAUAUGAAGGUUACAGUAGUGUACAACCAUUUUGGACCUAACUGUAAUCAACGUAUGCCAAGGUAAAUAGUUUUUAUACUAAGUAGUUAAAAAUACACAAAGUAGUAAGCAAUGUUAUAUGCUCUUAUGAAUAAAAAAAAUUAAUAUUCUAGGAUUCGCCAUGGAUACGCACAUGUAGCCAACAAUUUUUAUCAAGGAUGGCUUCAAUAUGCCAUUGGUGGAAGCAUGAAACCUAGUCUCAAAAGUGAAGCUAACCUCUUUGUAGCACCGUCAAUAGGAAAUAAGGAGGUAAUAAAUUUUCGAAAUAUCAUUUGAAGUAUUUGAUCUCCAAGUGAAAACCAAUCACUUAAAUAUUUGUGUAUAUAUACAUAUACAUAUUAUAAAGAUAUUUAUGAUUGUUAUGCUAAUGAUUUAUUACGUAGGUAACAUGGAGAAAGGGUAAUGAUAAAGGUGAAGAUAGAUGGAAUUUUCAUUCAAUAAGGGACGUUUUUGAAAAUGGAGCUUCCUUUAAUGUAACAAAAGGAAGGGGUGUGCAGAAACCAAAUUAUAGCAAAGAACAAAAUUUUAUAGUUGUCGAUGCCAAAUUCGUGAGAUUGUUGACACGUUCAUCUGGUGUAUUGCGAUACAAUAAAAAUAAUAUAUAUUGAUUAACUAAUAAGAGGGACCAUCUCUUGAAUUAUUUAGAAUUCUUAUAAUUUAGACCAUGUAAAUUAGGAGAGAUUAAUUUUCUCCAAAUAUAUUAACACUAAAUUGUAUUUAAAAUUCUAAAACUUGUAAAUAUACUAUAUUAUUAUAACAUAUUGGACUAUAUGAUGAAAAUCUUUAUUGAUGCUCCAAACUUAAUGUUUCAUCAAAUUUCUUUUGUGAUUUAGGAGUAUUUUUUAUUAUUUUUAUUUUUACAGUAUUUUAAGGAUAGUUUCUCUGGAUUGAAUUCAACAAGUUUAAAAUUCAAGACCUUAAAGUUACCCUCACAUCCUAUUUCAAUAUAAUCUCCUGUAUUUCUUAUUAUUGAAUGGUUAUAUUGUUGGAGAUCCCAACUUCGUAAUAUAUAGUACUAAUAAGUCAUGCCUCGUAGUUUUCUUUAGGAAUAAAUUUGUAUUAGGGCUGUUAGCUAAAUAUAAGUGUAUAUAAUUUCUUUUUAUGAGUUUUGAUGUAGUCAUUUCAUACUCUCUUUUUUUUUAUUUUUUUUCCUUCUUUUUUUAUUAUAUCUUCACAUGCCAUUCAAAUUUGAAAUGUCAAACUUUGUGGAUCACAAAUUUCUGUAAUAACACAAUACAUUUUAACCUUUAUAAAAUAAAAUAGUUACUAACUAAAUAAAUGAAAUUUAAGUAUAUUUAAAAAAUAUCACCAAACACCAAAUUUAAUUUGACAAAAAAUUAUNNNNNNNNNNNNNNNNNNNNNNNNNNNNNNNNNNNNNNNNNNNNNNNNNNNNNNNNNNNNNNNNNNNNNNNNNNNNNNNNNNNNNNNNNNNNNNNNNNNNNNNNNNNNNNNNNNNNNNNNNNNNNNNNNNNNNNNNNNNNNNNNNNNNNNNNNNNNNNNNNNNNNNNNNNNNNNNNNNNNNNNNNNNNNNNNNNNNNNNNNNNNNNNNNNNNNNNNNNNNNNNNNNNNNNNNNNNNNNNNNNNNNNNNNNNNNNNNNNNNNNNNNNNNNNNNNNNNNNNNNNNNNNNNNNNNNNNNNNNNNNNNNNNNNNNNNNNNNNNNNNNNNNNNNNNNNNNNNNNNNNNNNNNNNNNNNNNNNNNNNNNNNNNNNNNNNNNNNNNNNNNNNNNNNNNNNNNNNNNNNNNNNNNNNNNNNNNNNNNNNNNNNNNNNNNNNNNNNNNNNNNNNNNNNNNNNNNNNNNNNNNNNNNNNNNNNNNNNNNNNNNNNNNNNNNNNNNNNNNNNNNNNNNNNNNNNNNNNNNNNNNNNNNNNNNNNNNNNNNNNNNNNNNNNNNNNNNNNNNNNNNNNNNNNNNNNNNNNNNNNNNNNNNNNNNNNNNNNNNNNNNNNNNNNNNNNNNNNNNNNNNNNNNNNNNNNNNNNNNNNNNNNNNNNNNNNNNNNNNNNNNNNNNNNNNNNNNNNNNNNNNNNNNNNNNNNNNNNNNNNNNNNNNNNNNNNNNNNNNNNNNNNNNNNNNNNNNNNNNNNNNNNNNNNNNNNNNNNNNNNNNNNNNNNNNNNNNNNNNNNNNNNNNNNNNNNNNNNNNNNNNNNNNNNNNNNNNNNNNNNNNNNNNNNNNNNNNNNNNNNNNNNNNNNNNNNNNNNNNNNNNNNNNNNNNNNNNNNNNNNNNNNNNNNNNNNNNNNNNNNNNNNNNNNNNNNNNNNNNNNNNNNNNNNNNNNNNNNNNNNNNNNNNNNNNNNNNNNNNNNNNNNNNNNNNNNNNNNNNNNNAAAAAAUUAAUGAUUAAAUAAAAAAAUAUAUUAAUCAAUAUAUAUGUAUUUAUAGUAUUAAAGUUAUAUUAAUAUUAUAUAAUUUCUUCCUUUUUCUCUCUAUCUAUCUAUAUCCGGAUAAAAGUAAUAUUACUCAAGUCAAAUAAAACUACUAUACACACACAAUAAAUAUCUAAAUAUAUAUUUAUAUCAAAAUUAAUAUUAAAAAUAUGAAUAUAAUAUUGAUAAUAUGAAUAUAAUAUUAAUAAUAUUAAUAAUAUUAAUAAUAAUAUUAAUAAAUAUUAAUAAUAAUAUUAAUAAAUAUUAAUAAUAUGAAUAAUAUUAAUAAAUAUUAAUAAUAUGAAUAUAAUGUUAAUAAUAAUAUUAAUUAUAAUAUUAAUAAUAUUAAUAAUAUUAAUAAAUAUUAAUAAUAUGAAUAAUAUUAAUAAAUAUUAAUAAUAUUAAUAAUAUAAAUAUAAUAUUAAUAAUAUGAAUAUAAUUUAUUUUAUUAUUAUUAUUAUUAUUAUUAAUUAUAUUAAUAUGUAUAAAUUAUAUUAAUAUGUAUAAGUAUAAUAAAAAUGAUAAUAUGACCAAAGAACUUGUCUGGUUUAGUGGUCAAUGCUUCCUCUGAUCACUGGAAAGACUUGGGUUUGAAUACUGGCUGCUGCAGAUUGCUAGUAAUAUUAUUUGGGGCUUGGUUUCGAGUUCUAUGGGCAUUGGUUUUGAGUUCUAUGGUUCUCUUGCUUCUUUGUGUUUGGUUGCACCAUCCACCAAUUCGUACAUAGUGGUGUCCCGGGGUGACCUUCUCGGCUUCUUCCCUUCCUGCCAAUCUUUUCUCCUCCCCCAUCUUACGCUUCUUCUAGGCUAUCGACCGUGCCUCCCGCUAUCGUUGUCCCUACUCAAAUCGUUUGAUCUUUUUCAAGCAGAGGUACUCGACGAAGACCCUCUCUGGUCCUUCAAAAACCAUGAGUCUUGGUGAAAAUUACUAUGCUCUUGUAAUUUUUUAUGAUUUCUCAAGAUUUACUACAGUAACAUGUGUGCCAUUCGCAGUGACAAUGGUGAAGAAUUUCAAAACAGGGUAUUCUUCACAAUUUUUCUACUCCUUGAAAGGAAAAACACAUCUCUUGAGGAACUUUCCAAAACAUUUUUAAGUGAAUCUUCAUUACCAGAAUAUUUAUGGGUUGAUGUUGUUAGCACAACUUAUUAUGUAAUGAAUAGAGUCUUCAUUAGACCAAUUUUGAAGAAAAUCCCUUAUAAAUUGUACAAUGGAAGAAAAACCAAAAAUUGGUCACCUAAGGGUGUUUGGUUGCAAAUGCUACAUUUAAAAUAAUGGAAAGGAAAACCUUGCCAUGUUUAGUGAAAAAGCUGACAUUGACAUUUUUCUAUCACAGUACAAAAUUACAGUGCAAAAUGAUUUACCCAAAGAAUAGAGAACUUCAAAAUAUCUAUUAGUGGACAACGUGAUUGGUGUAAGGACCGAGAAAAUUAGUGAUACAAACCAACUGGACAAGGAGAUAACCAAGGACACAACAAACACUUCAUAAUUAAGUCAGUUAUCUCAUCAUCUAAGACAAGGCCCCACCAAACUUCAUAAGGACCUCAACAAAAGAAGAACUAAACAUAGGCCAGAACAAAAGAAGUUUCUUCUAGUCUUUUUAAAGGACAAGUGUUUGUAAAUAAGUUGGGCUCACUUUAGGGAUCCAAAUAGAAGAAUAAACUAGAGUAGGGUGCACUUAGUAUAUUUGGGGGUUAUGCUAAAGCCCACAUUUCAUGACAUUGGACCUAGGAUUAGGGUUUUUAAACUAGUUUCUAUAAACUAGGCCUAAGAGGGCGGUGUUGACCUAGAGUCAAACCCUAGGCCACCCAUGUUCUCUCCUCUUUCUACCCCUCUCUCAUAUUUCUCUCCAAGUCACUCAUUCCUAUAUAAAAGGGUGCCUUCCCCCAUGUUUUUACACAUUGAAUUUGGGAAAAAUAAAAGAAACUCUAUUGGAGUGUUUAAUGAGCUUUGUCUCCUAGAAAUUGGGUCUUAUCUUGGGUGUUGGUGCACUUCAAGUGGCGGCUCUUCACUACUCAUCUUGAAGUCUCCCCCCUCUCUAAGUGGCGUGAUUCCUUAUUCCAUAAGCAUCUCUUAAUCUCUUCACCCUUUUGUUUUUCUUUCCUUUUCCUUCCAUACUCUUAUUCAUUUAUGUUUGGCUUUCUUCAUCAUCUUAUGCUUUUUUUCAUGUCCUUUAUUUAUGCACCUUCUUCAUCAUAAUCACCAUAUUUGUGUUUUUUCUUUGCCUACUAGAAGUGAACUUUCACAUUUACUUAACCACUUGGUUAAGUUCGUGUCCAAUGGGAAUCUUCUUCGGGUUUCUCAACAUAAUUGUUAAUCUCAAAUCUCAUAAACAAAAGAGUAACACAUAAAAUGUGCAAUCCUAAAAUCAACUCACAUUAUAUGGUAUUCAGAGCAUGGUUAUCUUGUGCUUAAUUGCUUUUGAGUUGAUUUAUGCCUUUAAAUUUCAGCACAUUUCAAUUAUUGUUUUUCUCUUCAAGCAAUUUCAAUUUCACCUUUAAAUUCUUGUCAUUUAUAAUUCCGCCUUUUUUAUUCAAUAAGCGAUUUAAAUUCUGAUUUUAAAUUAUUUUGUGUCACUUUUUUUCCCUUCCCUAUUUUUCUUUAGUCUUAUGUUUUUAGUGUUCUAGGAGUCUUUAAUUCCUUUCUGCUUAUUUUUCUUUUAAUUGCAAAGAACUAAAAGAAACUAGAAAUUGUUUAAGUGGUAGCUGAAUUAGUUCCUAACAAAGAGUUUAAAUGAUCAUAUGAAUUGAAUCCCUUUCUCUUUGUGAAAAUUUGAAAGUGAAGUAAAAAUAUGCAUGUCAAGAAUGUGGACAUUUUAAAUCCAUAAAAACAAAUACAAAAACAAUUUGAAUGCAAUUCACUUUUCAAGAUUAAAAUAUUAAGAGGAUUCUUUUUAUGUGGCAAAUUGUUUUCACAUUUGUGGAACUUAAUCCUUCUUACUUUUACACUUUCUAAGAAAUUAAAAAACUUCGUAGUUAAAAGUUUAAGUAAGUUUCUUUGAGUCUUCAUAAGAGCUUUUCUUGUUUGUCCUGUUAAAAGUUUUGUCAUCCUCUAAAUUCUAAUUUGGUUUAGCUUUAUUUCAUUUAUCUUUUCUUGUUUGUCUUCAAAUUUUUCUUUAGUUUUGUUGGGGGCUCUUUGGUGAGCGAGUGAUAAGAAUUUUGACCUCUUUCACUUGAAGUUUUGCUACCAAGUGUAGACCUUUUGGAAUUCAAAUCUUCCUUGAGAGAAUUAUUAUUUUUUCCGUACUUUACUAAAUAGUUGAGUGAUACACAUGAAUGAGUGCAUUAAAUUGUUAUUUUCACUUAUUGUUUGCUUUCUUUUGUGCAAAAUCAUGGCUCAUUUGUCUUCGAGAGAGUCUUCAAAGCCACAAUUUCCUCAAAAGGCACAUCUUUUGGGGGAGCUUGUUGAUGCCAAGAGGAGUUUGGCCCACAAAGAAGAGGAAAUGAGGCAAUUAGUGGAAAGAAUGCAAAGGCCAGAAGAUACAUAAGAGAAACUACCUAGAGAAAGGAGGCGGGAACCAAGACGCACUACGAGAUAUCUGUAUUGACCAGUGCUCGGCUCUCGGUACUAUUUUCGUGUGCUCGAUUCUUUGAGGUAUGAGAGGUCAGCUCGGUCGAUGGGCUUAGAUGGACCCGCGCAGAUGGCCCUUUUCAGGGAAGGCCCUAGCGCACGUUAGGGUCAUUGCCAAUAGUAAUUUUAUAUGUACACCUGCUUAUAGAUAGAUUUGGGGGCAGUAAAUAUAAUGUUGUUAUUUUUUACAUGUUUUGUUAUGAAUACAUGAGAUAUUUCCCAUUGCAUAUUUUUUGUUGCAUAUCUGUUACACGGGGCUAGCUAUAACCCUAUUGAAAUAGGGUUAUGCGGAAGUAACAGAAAAGGGCCUACGGAUGGUACCUGAAGAUCACUGGUGACCAUGGUAGGUAAAUUUUUUUGUUACAGGUAAAAGAUUAAUAUGCUUAGAAUAUUUUCGGUUAAGAUUUGCUUAUCUCCACAGAGAAUGGUUGCAUGUGGCAUGUGCGACAAUAAAAAGAGAGUGAGUCUCCAGGUAAAGGUAUGCUAUUUUUUACGCACUUUCUUGAUUGGUUACUUUUGGUGAGCCCUAGCUGACUUGAUCGUCGAAGUGUAAUCAACAGGUAGGGCGCCCUCUGUCUCAAUGGAGCCUUAUUCUAGUGCAGCAAAGAUUGACAAACUCGGUUCCAAGAGAGGUAGAUUCAGGAGGGGGCAUUCAAUGUCGAGUCAACCAGAAACUCAGUCAAUCGGCAAGAACAACAUCAUAGGCACUAUGGAGUGAAGAAGAAGAACAACAACAACAAUGGAGAGUGCAAAAUGUGGACACUAGGCGCCACCAACACCAACCACCAAAGACUUAUUUUCCUUUUGUUAAAUUACCUAGUUUUAAUGGGAUAAUGACCCAAAUGUAUAUCUAGGAUGGGAAGCUAAGGUCGAAAAAACUUUUAAUGUGUAUAAGGUCGAAGAGGACAAAAAGGUUAAGUUAGCUUCCCUAGAAUUUCAUAACUAUGCCAUGCAAUGAUGGAAUCAAAUUUUAAUGGACAUUGGGCUAAACAAGAGGCCAAUCAUGGUCUCUUGGAGCGAUUUAAAGUUAUGCAUCUGCACACAGUUUGUUCCUCCUUAUUAUAACAAGGAACUCUUGUUGAAGCUUCAACGACUUCAUCAAGGAUCUAGGAGUGUAGACAAGUAUUUAAAUAUUUAGAAGUAACUUUGACUAAGAAAGUGAAGAGUGAAAGAUAGUUAGAUUUGUAAGUGGCUUAAGAAGAGAAAUUCAAAAUGUUGUAGAACUUUAUGAGUAUACAUCUUUAGAAAAAUUGGUUCACCUAGCCAUAAAGGUUGAAUCACAACUUUUAAAGAAAACAUCUUUCAAACAUACUCAUAAUAAUGGGUUUUACAACUCAUCUUGGAAGGAUAGAAAUAACUUUCCAAAACAAGAAAAUCCUUCAAAUGAAUCCACUCUACAAACUUCUAAAGACAAUCAUUUUCAUUCUAGGACUAAAUCGCCAACGAAACCUAAAAUAAAAAAUGUUUUGAAUGUUUAGGUUCUGGUCAUAUUGCUGCAAAUUGCCCUAAUAAAAGAACCAUGAUGGUAAAAAGGGUGAUAGUAAUCACUGACCAUAGUGAUCAAUCUUCUAGGUCUAACUCCCCUACCCCUUCUUAAAAACCCUAGUGAAAAUGAAUGUCAGACACCUUGUGAAGGUGACUUAUUGAUGGUGAGGCGAAUGUUGGCCACAAUUCCAAAACCUUUUGAUUACACCCAAGGAGAAAAUAUUUUUCACAUCCACUAAACCCUAAACCUUAUCAACAACAAGUUAUGUUCCAUGAUCACAGAUGGGGGUAGUUGUGCUAAUGUGGCAAGUACAAGAGUGGUGGAGAAGUUUGGAUUACCCAUUAUCUCUUAUACAAAGCCUUAUAAACUACAAUGGCUUAGUGAAGAGGGUGAAAUUAUGGUUAAUAAAUAAGUCCUCAUAACUAUUGCUAUAGGAAAGUAUAAAGAUGAGGUUUUAUGUGAUGUUGUGCCAAUGGAAGAAAGACAUAUUCUAUUGGGAAGACCUUGGCAAUAUGAUAGAAAAAAUUUACAUGAUGACCAUACCAAUAAGAUUUCUUUCAACUUCCAAGGGCAUAAGGUUAUCUUAAAACCCCUCUCUCCCAAGGAAGUUAAUGAAGAUCAAGUAAAAAUGAAAACCAAAAGAGAAAUGAAAAAUGUGAGGAAAGAAAAAUCAAAAUGGGUCUCAUCUCAUCUUACACAGUCAAAACAAUAAUGUUGACCCCAAACCUAAUUGCGCCUCCUAGGUAUACUUCUUCCUUCUCUUUUGCAUUAUCAAAUCAUUGUAAAUACUUGACAUCUUUGAUAAAGAAGUUUAGGGAUGAUAUUGAAAAAGCUUCUAAAGGUUCCCACCUUCUAAGACGAUUUUCACAAACAAAUCAUUUCCUCCAUAAAAAUUCUCUACAAGCAUGGCUUGUUGAACAUUGGCUUUGAUGUCUCCAAAUCUAUGUGGAUUUCUUGAAGACUUUGACGAUGGGUUUCUGGGUGUGUUUUGGGUAGUAUGAAUUUGUAAUCCACUCAUAGAAUUGAUCCAAGAUUAUUUUAUUUUAACCCUUUUGAAAAAUAUUUGUUUUCAAAGAGAAACAGAAAAACAACCUGUUGAUUUCUCAUUUUAAUCGGUUGUUUUUUUCUCAGCUUGUUUGAAGGGUUUUUAAACUGUUUGACUUUGGUUGACUUUGUUGUCAAACCAAUUCAGUCGGUUAUUUCGAAAAAUCAACCGAUUGUUUUUUUAAAAUCCUUAACAUAAUUUUGUUUAACUGAUUCAAUCUGUUUUGUUUGUUUUAAAACUGAUUUAGCUUUUGCAUUAAAUGUUUUUAACUACUUAUUAGAGUAUAAAUAAGUGGUUAUAUGCUCCUGUUGUUAUGGAUUCAAAGUAACACUUUCAAAAUUAGUUUUUCCAAUAUUGCUUAAGGCUUUGGAUUUUUUGCUAAGAGUGGAAUAUGACUGUUGUGUAUUUUUUCAAUCCAAUCUGUGAUUGUAUCAAGUGUAUUCUAUUCCUUUCUCUGUUUGAUUUGUAUUUUUGUAAAGAUGUAGUGUUGCACAAAGUUAGAGAGUGUUUUGAUAUGUGUUGUGUUGUAGCCAAAGGAAGUGAAUGUGCUUGAGGGGUUCAAGAUCACUUCUUUGGUGUGUGUGUGUGUGUGUAAUUUGUAAUUUGUUGUUGGUUACAUAGUAGAAUACCUAGUGGUUUCUGGGGACUGGAUGUAGCUUUUGGUGAAGAGUGAACCAGUAUAAACAUUUAGUAUGAAUCUCUCUAUCCUUACACUCUUUAAACUGCUUUAACUUUACUUUUAUAGAGUGCUGAUAAAAAGAACCAACUAUUUAGUAAAAACAACCGGUUGAUUUUCUGCAUCAACCUUAAAAACAGUUUUAUAUUUCGCUGGACAGAUUUUCCAUUGAUUAGUUUUUCGUAGUCUUUCACUUUACCUUCAAUAAUUGCGAAAAUAUUUCAAAAACAAUUCACCCCCUCUUAUUUAGGCCAUUAAUUCUUACAUGGCAUGUAUCUAGAAUUCACCCAUGUGAACUCCCAAAGCUUCAUGAACAAAAGUUUGAUUCACAGUCCAUUACUAUAAAUGCUUCUAUCUGUCUAGUGAACAAACUAUGUUAUUUACAGGAGUUCUAAAUUCGAGGUCGAAUUCUUUCCAACUUGGGGGGCAUGAUGCAAACCAACUAGACAAUGAGAUAACCAAGGAUACAACAGAAACUUCACAAUUAAGUCAUUUAUCUUAACAUCCAAGACAAGGCCCCACCAAACUUUAGAAGGACCUCAGUAGAAGAAGAACUGGAGAUAGGACAGAGCAUCAGACAUUGUGAUGUGAUUUGUGAUGUGAGUUGAUUUUAGGAUUGUUCAUUAAGGUGACACUUUAUAUUUGUGAUUGAUAUUUUUAAGGCAAUUGGGAGUGAAAACCUAAGGAAAAUCCCCACUGGAUAUUAACUUAACCAAGUGAUUAAGUAGAUGUGAAGGUUCAUUUCACAAAGGCAGAAGGAAAACACAAUUAUAAUGUGAAGAUGAUGACAAGAUAUGGUGCAGAAUUAAACAAUGAAAGCAAUAACAAAAGGAAAUGACCAAAUAGAAAUAAGGAAGCAAAACAAUAACAUAUUUAUGAAUUGAAUGGAAUGACAAUGGAAGGAAAAGAUGAAAGAAAAGGAAGCUUAUGAGAAAUAGUUUUUGAGAUGAUGAGCAGGCCACUUGGAUGAUGAAAUGACUCCAAGAUAAGUGUUGGAAGCCGCCACUUGAGAGCUCUCAAAUUCUCACAAGAUAAGACUAAAAGGCUAAGAGGACAAGCCUCACUAGCAUUUCACACAAAAUGUGCAUAGUAACUUUUCUCUAUUUCAUUCAACUUGACAAUACAAUGAGGGAGGCCUCCUAUUUAUAGGAUGAGGAGCCUUGGAGAACAAGUUGUGAGGGUAGGUAGGGAAAGGCAAAUAUGGUGCGGCCUAGGUCAUUGACUAAGGUCAAUGCCGCACCAUCAUACAUAUUCUAGAAGGUAGGGUUUCCUUCCUUCCUUCCUUAAUGGACUUCUCAUAGGCCUAAUUUUAUAACUUCACCUCCUAUUUAUUCUAUAUGGACCUACUUUUGUUUAUUCUACUAUUUGGACCCCUCAAGUGAUCCCAACUUAUUUACAACAUUUCUAAUCAUUAAGAAGACCAGCAGGAAGAACUUUAGAUGCUCUGGUCUAUGUCCAAUUCUCCCUCUGGUGAGCUCUCCACUUUGAGAUCACUUCUCAUUGUGUAAAUUAGCAUCCUUGGGCAUCUCCUUCUUGGCUUGAUUUGCAUCAUGCCCCCCAGGUUGGAGAGAAUUCGACCGUGUUGAAGCUACUCCAUUUCACAAGCAAGGCUUGGUUGAGGACAAAAUAUUUUCUUGGAGUGGUUUGAGUGCUUUCUUGGGCAUUUUCCAGCAACCUAUAUCUCACUGUUUUUAAUUGUUUAACAAGUUUCUUUCACUGUUUUGUUUUCUGUUUUUGUGUAUUUUCUGCUCAUGGCUCAUUUCUCUAGUGGAGAGUCCUCCAAACCGUGUUCACCACAAAAGGCAGCCCUUUAUGAAGACUUAAAGAAUGCCAAGCAAUCCAAUGCUCACUAUCUUGAGGUGAUAAGGAAGAUGGAAGCACGGCUCCAAAGUUUGGAGUUAAACCGAGAAGAAAUGCAUCACAAUCGUGAGAGAAGAACUCCUCCUCCUAGUCGGCAUUCUUCAAGGCACUCCCAUGGUUAUUAUGAAGAUAAUCCAAGGCCAAGACAUCAUCACCAUGAAGAGAGGCGCCAACAUGUGGCUGACCCUUAUUCUCCUAAUGUAAAACUUCCUAGUUUUAGUGGUGAUAGUGAUCCCAAUGUAUACUUAGGAUGGGAGGCUAAGGUGGACCAAAUUUUUGAUGUAAAUGGGGUUAGGGAUGAGCAUAGGGUUAAGUUAGCUUCUUUAGAAUUUUUGGACUAUGCCAUGCAAUGGUGGCAUCAAUACCUCAUGGACAUUGACCUACACAAGAGGCCGCCCGUGGUCUCUUGGAACGAUUUGAAAGCAUGUUUACACGCUAGAUUCGUACCCCCACACUUUAGGAAAGACCUUAUGUUGAAACUCCAACGGUUUCAUCAAGGCGCGCUAAGUGUGGAUGAUUACUUUAAACAACUAGACACGCUUUUAAUUCGAGUUAAUAUGGAUGAGAGUGAGGAGGCUAAGAUAGCUAGGUUUGUGAGUGGACUUCGAAGGGAUAUUCAAGACGUGGUAGAGUUACAAGAAUAUUCUUCUUUGGAAAAUGUGGUGCACCUUGCUAGCAAAAUUGAAAAUCAACUUGCAAGGAAAAAUGCUUUCAAAAAUUCUUCUAAAGAUAACUACUACCACUCUUCUUGGAAAAAUAAAAACUCUUUUUCAAACAUCCCUUCUAAGGACUCUACUUUCAAACCUAGAGAGUCUAAGCCUUCCACUUCCAAUGCUAGGCCUAAAUCACCACAAAAAUCGUCUAGUAAGAAGUGUUUUAAAUGUUUAAGCUAUGGACAUAUUGCUUCUAAUUGCCCUACUAAACGAACUAUGUAUAUGCAUGAUGGGGUUGAUAGUAGUGAGCAUGGGUCCGAAUCUUCUAGACAUUCCUCACCUUCUAGAUCCCCAAGUGAGAGUGAAAGUGAAAGCCCACAUGAGGGUGACCUAUUAGUAAUAAGACGCAUGCUUGGACAAGUGUUAAAACCUUUUGAUGAAACUCAAAGAGAAAAUAUUUUUCAUUCAAGGUGUCUUAUUAAUGAUAGAGUUAGCUCUUUGAUUGUGGAUGGAGGGAGUUGUGCAAAUGUGGCAAGCACAAGAGUGGUAGACAAACUUGGAUUGCCUACCAUCUCUCAUGCCAAGCCCUACAAGUUACAAUGGUUGAGUGAGGUGGGUGAGAUAGUGGUGAACAAACAAGUCCUCAUUACAUUUUCCAUUGGCAAAUAUAAAGAUGAGUUCUUGUGUGAUGUUGUUCCAAUGGAAGCUAUUCAUAUCCUUUUAGGUAGGCCAUGGCAAUUUGAUAGAAAAAAAUUUCAUGAUGGCUUUACCAACAAAAUUUCUUUUAACUUCCAUGGACACAAAGUCAUUCUCAAGUCUCUCUCUCCAAAGGAGGUACAUGAGGACCAAGUCAAAAUGAGAGAAAAGAGAGAGAAAGAAAAAGAAAUUAAAAAUUCCAAGAGAAGCCUUCUCAUAUCUUCCCAACAAGUUCAAAAGGUAAUAGUUACUCACAAGCCUAUUUUUUUAGCUAUUCCUAGACCUAUUGAAUAUGAGUUGGCUAAGGAUAGUCCCACAUGUUUGGACCAUUUGGUAAAGGAAUAUGAAGAUUGACGAUUCUUUUUCGGAGUUCCUGUACUGGCUNNNNNNNNNNNNNNNNNNNNNNNNNNNNNNNNNNNNNNNNNNNNNNNNNNNNNNNNNNNNNNNNNNNNNNNNNNNNNNNNNNNNNNNNNNNNNNNNNNNNNNNNNNNNNNNNNNNNNNNNNNNNNNNNNNNNNNNNNNNNNNNNNNNNNNNNNNNNNNNNNNNNNNNNNNNNNNNNNNNNNNNNNNNNNNNNNNNNNNNNNNNNNNNNNNNNNNNNNNNNNNNNNNNNNNNNNNNNNNNNNNNNNNNNNNNNNNNNNNNNNNNNNNNNNNNNNNNNNNNNNNNNNNNNNNNNNNNNNNNNNNNNNNNNNNNNNNNNNNNNNNNNNNNNNNNNNNNNNNNNNNNNNNNNNNNNNNNNNNNNNNNNNNNNNNNNNNNNNNNNNNNNNNNNNNNNNNNNNNNNNNNNNNNNNNNNNNNNNNNNNNNNNNNNNNNNNNNNNNNNNNNNNNNNNNNNNNNNNNNNNNNNNNNNNNNNNNNNNNNNNNNNNNNNNNNNNNNNNNNNNNNNNNNNNNNNNNNNNNNNNNNNNNNNNNNNNNNNNNNNNNNNNNNNNNNNNNNNNNNNNNNNNNNNNNNNNNNNNNNNNNNNNNNNNNNNNNNNNNNNNNNNNNNNNNNNNNNNNNNNNNNNNNNNNNNNNNNNNNNNNNNNNNNNNNNNNNNNNNNNNNNNNNNNNNNNNNNNNNNNNNNNNNNNNNNNNNNNNNNNNNNNNNNNNNNNNNNNNNNNNNNNNNNNNNNNNNNNNNNNNNNNNNNNNNNNNNNNNNNNNNNNNNNNNNNNNNNNNNNNNNNNNNNNNNNNNNNNNNNNNNNNNNNNNNNNNNNNNNNNNNNNNNNNNNNNNNNNNNNNNNNNNNNNNNNNNNNNNNNNNNNNNNNNNNNNNNNNNNNNNNNNNNNNNNNNNNNNNNNNNNNNNNNNNNNNGCGUGAAUGGCUUCUUCCAAUCCUCAAAAUCCAGCAAGCAUCUUCAUAUAAGUGUCUUUUUUCCUUUCUAGAAUUUUCCAUUCGGUAGUUUCAUUUCCUAAUGUGUUUCCUUCAUUUUCUACCGUUUACAUUCUGUUUUCCAGCUUUGUUCUUUGUUUCUUUUUUGGUUCAGUAGCUAGUUUCUUAAUUCUGUCCAGUUUUAAUUCUUGUUCUUCUUUCCUUUUGUUUUGAUUCAAUUUGACAAUACAUGGACUUCAAUAUGAGUCUUGGUUGGUGCUUAGUUUUGGUGAGUUCUUGAAUUUAGAACAUUGAUCCAAUUCUAAAGUAAAGUGCCUUUCAAAUCCAGCUCAAGUUGUUCCUAAGAAUGUCAAGAAUCAUGUGUUCUUGUAGUUACAUUCACAUCAAUUUAGAACCCCUAUAGAUAGCAUAGUCAGUUUGUUCACAUAUAAAAUAGUGCAAGGAGUGAGAUGUGAACUUGACUUAUAUUCUUUAAGCUUGGGGAGUUCAAAAGAUGGGGUUAUGUAUACAGACCAUGUUUUGAAAGAUUGUUUGGGAAUGAUAAAUCCUUUUGCAGAAAAUCCUCUUAGAAGGUGGAAACCUUUAGAAGGUGUUUGAAAAGCAUUCCUAACAUUCAUUAAAAAAAAUGGUGUGUAGGUAGAAACCCUUGGUAAUGAAAUAGAUAAGGAAGAAGGACACCUUGUGAUGUGAAUGCAAUAGCAAGAAUACAUGAUUCUUUGACAUUCUUAGGAGCAACUUGAGUUGGUCAUGAAAUGGCACUUUACUUAGAAUUGGAUCAAUGUUCUAAUUCAAGAACUCACCAAGACUUUGCACCAAACCAAAGCUCAUAUGGAAGUCCAUAUGUUGUCAAAUGGAAUCAAACAACAAGGAAUGAAGAACAAGAAUUGAAACUGAACAGAAUUGAAAUAUAAAGCUGGAAACGCAAACUUAAACGGUGCAAAAGAAUGGAAAACGCUAAACAAAGGAAACUACCGAAUGAAAUUGGAAAGAAUUAAAGAAAGAACACUUAUGGAGUAAAGCUUGUUGGAUUUGAGACUUGGAGAAUGCAAUCACGCCACUUGGAGCCUUGUUCCAAGACAAGUGAAGGAAUGCCGCCACUUGAAGCUCACCAUUGGCACACAAGACAAGGCAAAGGAAGAAGAAGACCACAAGACUCACAAUUUCUCUCUAAAUUUGAGUAUAGUCUCUCUACUUCUAUUUCCAAAUCUCAAUUGUGAAGGACGUAAUCCCUCCUUUUAUAGGAGCAAGGGCUGGUCNNNNNNNNNNNNNNNNNNNNNNNNNNNNNNNNNNNNNNNNNNNNNNNNNNNNNNNNNNNNNNNNNNNNNNNNNNNNNNNNNNNNNNNNNNNNNNNNNNNNUUACUAAGCUCACUCCCCAAGCUUAUAGAAUUUUCUAAACUAAAGCCUAAAGAUGCUUUUACAAAAGAGGUGUCUAAUGUUUCCCUCUAAGCACCUUUGUAAACACUAUUCUAUAUUAUUUACAAUUUAAAAGAAACUAUAAAGAGAGAUAUUUAAUUGAAGCCUAUUCUUGAAAGCUUGUAGACUUCUUUGGCGUUAGGCUUGAUCCUCUCUUUAUUUUAUGUCUUCUUUUAAUUUUGAGAAGAGUAGAAGGAAGAACUUCAAAUGUGAAGGUGAAUGACCUCUUCCUUCAUUAAUAAAAGCCUCCUUUAUUUGAUUCUCAUCAUACUCCUCGAGUUGGAGAGAAUUCGUCCACGAAUUCUGAAUCCCUGCAUAGAACAAAGUCAGUUUAUUUUGACAAUUAAAAGAGGAAGAAAAAGGCAAACAUGACUUAGCUUUUGUAAACAUUGGGAUUGCAGAAAAGGAGGUUCUAGAAAUUGACCAAGUUGGAAAAAUUUGUUUGGGAAUGAUGAUAUCUUUUGGAAAAAGGCCUCUUAAAUGGUGACAACCAUUAGGAGGUAUGAAAAAGUCAUUCCUAACAUUUUUUAACCAAGAUGGUAGUGAAGUAAGAACAUUUGGUAAUGACAAAGAUAAGGAAGGAAAACACCUUGGAUGUGGAAGGAUGAGACCCAUGUCAAUUUGGCCUUCUUUGUCUUUUUCAUUUUCACGUGUGGUAGGUGGGGGAAUUAGGUCUUGUUUUACCUUGUUUAUUAUUAAGGUUUGCUUUUGUGGACAAUGAAGAGCUAUGUGCCCAAAACCUAAACAUUUAAAACAUUUGGUUUUUAAAGUUUUGGUGGAUGACUUAGAGGUAGAAGGAUUUUGGGUAGAAACUUUUUGGGAAGAAGUGGUUUCUUUGCAAAAAUUUGAAGGAGAAUUUUGAGUAGAAACUUUGGUUGCAUCCUUCCUAGAAGAGUUGUAGAAACUAUCAUCAUGAGUAUUUUUGAAAGUUGUUUCCAAUAGGUGUGAUUCUACCUUGAUGGCUAAGUGAAACACUUUCUUUAAAGAAGUAUACUCAUGUAGUUUUACCAAAUCUUUAAUUUCUCUUCUUAAACCACUUACAAACCAUUUUAUCUUUGAUUUUUCAUUAACAUNNNNNNNNNNNNNNNNNNNNNNNNNNNNNNNNNNNNNNNNNNNNNNNNNNNNNNNNNNNNNNNNNNNNNNNNNNNNNNNNNNNNNNNNNNNNNNNNNNNNCAUUUUAAUCAAAGAUGUUUCAAAUUCUUGAAAAUAUUCAUCUACCAUCCUAUGUUCUUGAUGAAGCCUUUGGAACUUCAACAAGUGUUCCUUCCUAGAAGGAGGAACAAACCUCGCGCGCAUACACUCUUUCAAAUCAUUCCAAGAAACCACGGGAGGUCUCUUGUGAUAUCCAAUGUCCAUUACAAUGCUAUGCCACCAUUUCUUGGCAAAAUCAAAAAAUUCUAAAGAGGCUAUUUUCACCUUUUGGUCUUCAUAGACCCCAUAGGCUUUGAAAAUUUGUUCACAUUUAGCCUCCCAAUCUAAAUACACCUUAGGAUCACUAUUACCACUAAAGCUAGGUACUUUAACACUUUGAGCAUAAGUGAUGGAGAUCAAGCUCAAGAGAACAUGGAGGCCACUCAUCAAGCUCAAGAAGAGGUGGAGGCACAAAUGGAGGACGCCCAUGGAGGUCAAAGUCCACCUCAAAGGAUUNNNNNNNNNNNNNNNNNNNNNNNNNNNNNNNNNNNNNNNNNNNNNNNNNNNNNNNNNNNNNNNNNNNNNNNNNNNNNNNNNNNNNNNNNNNNNNNNNNNNUUUGGGAGCUAGAGGACAUUUAUUUUCUCUAUUAGUAGUUUCUUUAGUUGAAGGUGCUUAGAGGGAAACUUUAGAAACCUCUUUUGUUAUAGCAUCUUUUAGGCUUUAGUUAGGAGCUUUAGGGGGGGUGUGUUAGUAGAUAGGUGUAGAAGUAGAAUAGGAGGUGCCAAAGUGAAGGAAGGAGUCACACCUUCCUCAUGGCUUGAAAUAGGCGCCGGUUUUAGCUAGCUUUGGGAGGGAAAUUUGAAUUGUUUUAGCUUGCAUUUUCAGCACCUUAGGCUAUAUAUAGAGGUGCUCUCUUUGUAAAAUGGAGAUUGGAAUUAAUCUAAGAAAACUAUACUCAAAGUUUGAGUGACCUUNNNNNNNNNNNNNNNNNNNNNNNNNNNNNNNNNNNNNNNNNNNNNNNNNNNNNNNNNNNNNNNNNNNNNNNNNNNNNNNNNNNNNNNNNNNNNNNNNNNNCCUAAAAAUGUCAAGAAUCUUGUUCUAUGUGGCUAUUGGAAUCACAUCAAUAAGGCAAUAUCACAUGUUGGCUUCUAUCUUCACGUUUAUGUAUUUUCCAUUCUUCCUUUUUUUCAAAGCUCCCAUAGGUGUUGAAACUCUUUAAAACAAGCCCAUGAUGAUGUUGGCCGUGAGCAUUGGAAAAAUCUUUGGAAGAAUGCCUAGGAGAAUGAUGUCUUUCAUGAUUGGAAUGUGAAGAUCUUUCGUACUUCAAUUCAAGUUUUGACAAUCUUUUCUCCAUGCGUUGUACUUCUAAAAUUCGAAGCCUUGUCUCCAUUUGGCUCAACACCUCAAGAUAUUGUGCAUUUGAUAGUCUAACAUUUUUUAAAUCUUCCAUGAGAGCUGCCUUUUGAGGUGAGUAAGGUUUGGAGGAUUCUCCACUAGAAAAAUGAGCCAUGAUCAAAAGGUACAAAAAAAACAGAAACAAACAAUUAAAGAAACCUGUUAGCAAAAUAAAGUGAGAUGUAGGUUGCUGGAAAAUGCCAAAAGAAAGUACUCAAACCACUCCAAGAAAAUAUUUUGUCCUCAACCAAGCCUUUCUUGUGGAUUGGAUGAGCUUCAAGUGAAAAAUGUCAAAGCAAACCACACUCACUUAAGAACAAGUCACCACAAAACUUAGAAGAAACAAGAAGACAAACAAGGAAAGGUAUAAGCAAGAAAAGCUAAACCAAAACAGAAUGCAAGAUAUGACAAACUGGAAAAGAAUAUGAAUGAAAGACAAGCAAGAAAAUAAGGAACUCAAUGAAUAAAGAAGGCACACAAAAAGAGUCCUAAAGAGAAGUGCUAGAGUAGAUUGAAGAAAACAGAAAACAGCUACUUGGAAAAAAAAAUUAAUGCAAACUGUGCUAUGUUUACAGAUUUAACUGUACUGAUUGAAAGCGAACUGGAAUGUGAAAAAUUAACCACAGAAACUUAAAUGUCUCAACUCAAUAAUGGCACUGGAAUGAGGUAAAAACAGUAAGCCAAUUGAGAGAAAUAAAUUUUUCAAAAUCGCUGCCCAAUUACCGUAUUUUUUUCGGCAGAAUUGUACACUUUUCGUAUUUUAUUUAUCAUUUUUUGUGUACUUGGAAUUUUUUAGUACUUCUUUUUGCUAUGCUUUUGUAACACUUUGAAGAAUGUAAAUCCAAAUUUUCACAAAUUUCCAGUGAGCCAAUUAAUUGCAGUAAAUUGAAAACAGUAGCACGUUUGUAAGAAAACAGAGGAGCCUAUUUAGGAAUGAAAAACAGUAUGAUGAACUAGUAAAGACAUAAUGGAAAUUAUGUAAAGGAACUUGUAUAGAAUGAGAAUACAAGCACGAACUCAAAUCUAAAAAUGAAAAUGCACAAAGGAUCAAGCAAUAAACUCAAAAAACAGAAAGUAAACCAAAGCAAGAAACAAUCAAAGCAAUAAAAGUACUACUAGAAGUAAUGACAAUUAUGGAAUAACAUGACUAAGACAAAACUUGACAUGAUUACAAAAUUAAAAGACAUAUAACAAGAUAUACCAACAAGUGAAAGGAAGCUUAAGGUCAGCUCUAGGAAGGAGAAUGCCAUUCCACAAGAGCAGCCAUACUCAUAUGAACACUGAGUGCUAGAAUCCUUUUCACAAACACAUGGUGUAACAAAAGAACACAGCAAGAAAACUCAAAAUAAAUCCUAAAACAGAAUGGUAAACAACUUGAAUGAAAGAGCUCUUGAAAGUAAAGUGCAAUACAACUCAAAAAUUAAGCAAAAACAAGCCUAGACUCUAGAUACCACAUGACGUGAAUGCAAUAGCAAGAAUACAUGAUUCUUUGACAUUCUUAGGAGCAACUUGAGUUGGUCAUGAAAUGGCACUUUACUUAGAAUUGGAUCAAUGUUCUAAUUCAAGAACUCACCAAGACUUUGCACCAAACCAAAGCUCAUAUGGAAGUCCAUAUGUUGUCAAAUGGAAUCAAACAACAAGGAAUGAAGAACAAGAAUUGAAACUGAACAGAAUUGAAAUAUAAAGCUGGAAACGCAAACUUAAACGGUGCAAAAGAAUGGAAAACGCUAAACAAAGGAAACUACCGAAUGAAAUUGGAAAGAAUUAAAGAAAGAACACUUAUGGAGUAAAGCUUGUUGGAUUUGAGACUUGGAGAAUGCAAUCACGCCACUUGGAGCCUUGUUCCAAGACAAGUGAAGGAAUGCCGCCACUUGAAGCUCACCAUUGGCACACAAGACAAGGCAAAGGAAGAAGAAGACCACAAGACUCACAAUUUCUCUCUAAAUUUGAGUAUAGUCUCUCUACUUCUAUUUCCAAAUCUCAAUUGUGAAGGACGUAAGCCCUCCUUUUAUAGGAGCAAGGGCUGGUCAUUUACAUAGCUUAUUCCCUAAGCUACCCAAAAAGCUCCUAAUAUCACACCCCCUUACUAAGCUCACUCCCCAAGCUUAUAGAAUUUUCUAAACUAAAGCCUAAAGAUGCUUUUACAAAAGAGGUGUCUAAUGUUUCCCUCUAAGCACCUUUGUAAACACUAUUCUAUAUUAUUUACAAUUUAAAAGAAACUAUAAAGAGAGAUAUUUAAUUGAAGCCUAUUCUUGAAAGCUUGUAGACUUCUUUGGCGUUAGGCUUGAUCCUCUCUUUAUUUUAUGUCUUCUUUUAAUUUUGAGAAGAGUAGAAGGAAGAACUUCAAAUGUGAAGGUGAAUGACCUCUUCCUUCAUUAAUAAAAGCCUCCUUUAUUUGAUUCUCAUCACCUUGGAGGUGCAAAUUAUAGCAUGGCACGAGUCAACAUGAUUGAUUUAGUUGAUGAGACUUUAUGAAUCAGUUGAUCAUUUCUUUCUUUCUCUUUUUCAUUUUCUCUUUUAGUUUUCAUUUUUAAUAAGUCCUCAUGAACCUCUUUGGGAGAGAGGGGUUUAAAGGUAACCUUGUGCCCUUGGAAGGUAAAAGUCAUUUUGUUGGUAAGGCCAUCAUGUAGAACUUGUCUAUCAUAUUGCCAUGGCCUUCCUAAUAGAAUAUGGGUUGCUUCCAUUGGCACAACAUCACAUAAAACCUCAUAUUUAUACUUUCCUAUUGCAAAGGUUAUGAGGACUUUUUUAUUUACCAUGAUUUCUCCUUCGGCACUAAGGCAUUGUAAUUUAUAGGGCUUUGUAUGAGAGAUAGUGGGUAAACCAAGCUUCUCCACUAUUCUUGUACUUCCCACAUUAGCACAACUACCCCCAUCUAUUACCAUGGAACAUAACUUGUUAGUGAUAAGGCAGCGGGUGUGGAAAAUAUUUUCUCUUUGGGUGUCAUCCAAAGGUUUUGGAAUGGUCCCAAGCAUUCGCCUUAUAAGUCACCUUAGCAAGUGUACCGGCCAAAGCGCUCAUUGGUUGGAGCUCAGCCACAGUUAGGUCAACUCAGCUUCUAAGCCAAGAUGAUGGGCCUAGGGGUUGGGCUCAGGACAUGGUUUGACUCUUUUCUAUAUACUUAAUGUAAUCCCCUCGCGCAAAACCCAAGCGGUCAGCAAGGGGUAGUAAUGGACCUAGGGGUGCGCUUAGUGUGUAUGGGUUAGCACGAGCAAAAUGUUUCCUUUAAACCUAAGCCCAUGUGUGCUAGAGCACAAUGAGUAGGUUGCAGGUGUAGUACGUAGCGCCUCGCCGCAGGUAUCUACGUGAAACAAUUGGACCCCUGAUGCUGGUACAUGAGUUGGUACCCUGGUAGCUAUUCUGUUAAGAUUUUAUGCACUCUAAAAAGGAGAGAUUUUGUUUAGUUGUGGUGCUAAGAGAAUGUGCCCUAAAAAAUAAUAUAUUUAUUGACACCGACUUUCAGUUGAAAGGGACUCUCGUGAUAGAAAGCUGCUACAAGUGGUAGGCUAUAAAAGGGACUUGAGAUCCCAAGUAAAGGUAGGUUGUUUCUAAGACUGAAACUAGUUACUUCUUGUUUCUAUAAGCCCUGAACUAACUUGAUCGUCGGAGUGCAAUCAACAGGUAGGGCCCCCUUCUGUUAAAACAGAGUCGCGUCCAAAGGGAAGCACAAAAUCCACCAGAAAUAGGAGGAGCCACUACUUGUCUCUGAGUCAACCGGUGACAAGGUCAACCGGCAAGAACAACAAGGUACCUCAUAUUCAUUAUCACUAGGAGUUUUUGAAGGGGAGGGGGAGUUAGACCUAGAAGAUUGAUCACUAUGUUCACUUACUACUUGCCCCCCUUAACCAUCAUGGUUCGCUUUGUUGGACAAUCGGCCGCUAUGUGCCCAAAACCUAAACAUUUAAAACACUUUUUACUUAAGGUUUUGGUAGGAGUUUUAGGGGUUAAAGUGGAGGGUUUAGAAUCACUCAGUUUGUAAGUGGACUCCUUUAGAAAAAAUUUGGGAAAAGUUGAAGAAGACUUGUUCUUUCCAAGAUGAGUGGUAGAAGCCAUCAUUAUGAGAGUUCUUUCCUAUAGUGUGGAGGCACAAACCUAGCGCGCAUGCAUAACUUCAAAUGCUCCCAAGAGACCACAGUUGACCUCUUGUUAAGUCCAAUGUCCAUUACAGUUUUGUGCCACCAUUGCAUGGCAUAAUCCAAAAAUUCUAAGGAGGCUAACUUAACUUUUUGGUCAUCUUGGACCUCAUGUACAUUAAAAAUGUGUUCUACUUUAGCCUCCCAUGCUAGGUAAAUAUUGGGAUCACCUUCUCCACUAAAACUAUGUAUUUUUACACAUGGUAAAGAAGGUUUUACCACAUUUUGGCGCCUAUCAUAAAAAUGAUGCAUUCUCCAUUCGACCUCAUCUUCAUGGCUACCAUAGUCUUGAUAACUUCUUGAUUCACGCCUAGGAUUAUAUCUUCUUUCUCUUUGAGGUCUAUCAUAGGUUGCUUCUAGCCUUUGGAGUCUUUCCUCCAUUUUCCUCAUCUCUUCAUCCUUUUGUGUUAUAGAUCUUUUUGCCACCGCCAAUUCUCCCAUAAGGAAAACCUUUUGGGGAGAUUGAGGUUUAGAAUAUUCUCCACUUGAAAUAUGAGCCAUAAAAACAAAACACAAGUAACAAACAAUUAGAGAAAAGAAGUUAGGAAGAAAAAUUUGUAAGGUUGUGCCACUUGUCAAGAUCACUCCAAGCACUCAAAGAAAGAAAUGUCUUCCCUUAGCCAAUGUCUCUCUUGUGGAUGAAAAACUCUCAACUGAAAAAGGUCAAAGCCUUCAACACUUCAUCUCAAAGGAAAAUCACCACAAAACUUUUUAAGGAAAGAAAAUAAAAGACAAACAAGAAAAGUUCAAACAAGAAAGACCAAACCAAAUUUGAAAAAGAGAAUAUGAGAAAACUUUGAAAAGGAAGACAAACAAGAAAAGGCACACAAAAAGAGUCUAAGAUACUUACUAAACUUUUAACUAUGAAACUUUUUUUUAGGAAUUGUUAAAGCAAAAGGAUAAAAAGUUCCACAAGGUUGAAAAUAAUUUUGCCAAUCAAGUUGAAUCCAUAUUUUGGAAAAUGAAUUUCUUUGAUAAGUGACAACCAAAGAUGCGUUUUAAACUUUUCUUUGCUGUUUUUUUUUUUACUAAUAUGACUUAUGGAAAGAAAUGACCAUAGUUUUCAUCAUGCAUAAUUUCCAAGAACUUUCAAUUUUCACAAAAAAAUUGGGGUUGGAUUCAAUAUAAUUGAACACUUGAAAUCAUGUGUUUGGAACUUUAAAUUUACUUCUACUAAAACCAAGUUUCUAGUUACUUUUCAAACUUCAAAAUUAAAAGCAAGUAAGUAGAAUUAAAACAAGGACCCCUAGAACACUAAUGAACAUAAGACUCAAAGUAAAAGGCAAUAUCAACAAAAGACAUAACAAGAAACAUAUUCAGAACGACAAAUGCUAUGAAUAUCGGUUAAAAAAAUAAAACAAUAGGUUGUUUUUCCACUUCUUUAGAGAACACUCUUUUUAAAAAAGGUUUUGAUUUAAAUCAAAUUUGGAUUCUAACAAAGAGUGGAUUACAAAUUCAAACUACCCAGAACACAACCACAGGCAACAACUAAGCCUUCAACCAAUCUUCAUGGAUUUGGAGACAUGAAAGCCCUUGUUCAACACAGUAUACAUGUGGUGAAGGAAAUUUAUGGAUGUAUUUCCAGAAGAAAUACAUGUAUUACCUCCAAAGAAAGAAGUGGAAUUCGCCAUCAAUCUAGUACCUGGAGCUGGACUAGUGUCAAUGGGACCUUACAGAAUGGCUCAAGCCGAGUUGAUUGAACUAAAGAAGCAAGUUGAGGAUUUGUUGGAGAAACAAUUUAUCAGACCCAGUGUAUCACCAUGGGGGGCUCCAGUGCUUCUAGUUAAAAAUAAAGAUGAAGGGUCUCUGUUGAGUGUAGAUUACAGGCAAUUGAAUAAGUUGACCAUAAAAAACAAGUAUCCUCUAUCCAUAAUUGAUGAUUUAAUGGAUCAAUUACAUGGAGGCUCAGUGUUCUCAAAGAUUGAUAUGAGAUCUGGAUACCUUCAGAUUUUGGUAAAGGUUAAAGAUGUUCAGAAGAGAACCUUUUGGUAUCAUUAUGGACACUAUGUGAUGAAAACCAUCCGACCUCAAAACUUUCAGCUAAGAAGAUAGAAGAAGAUCGAGACUUACUGAAGAGAUUGUAAAGUCUUUUACUUCUUCUUAGCCUUGUAAAAUUUGUAUAGAGUAGUUAGGAAGUUUUGGGCCAAAGAAGAGAAAAAUGUAAAUAGAAAAGAAAAAAUAGUGUAAAAUAGUAAAAGAGGGGUGCAAAUAGAAAUGUAGGCAAGGAAGGCAUGAAACUCCACAUGUCUUCUCCUUAAUGGAGAGGAUUUGCACUAAUAAGGUGGUGACACUUGUCACACUCUCAUUUGAGAGGUUUUGGGAGACUUUCUCCUAUAAGUAGCAAUCUCUUCUACAUGAUUUUUAACUUUGAUUUGUGUAAUGAAAUGUUGUUCAAUUGAGACACUUUUACUUGUUCAAAGUUCUCUCUAGAGUUGUCUUCUUGUUAGACAAAUUUCUAGAUUGUUCCUAAUAGUGUUGGCCUAACCUCACUCUCGAAAUUAACUGUUAGCCUAACCUCACUUAGAUUCACCGUCAUAAUUUUCAUCUCUUUCAAAUUUCUACAUUUUUUCAUGCUUCUACAAUAGUUUUCAUUAUCCCUAGAAGAUAUUCAAAUCAAAACAAUGAAAAAGAUCUACAAAUGAAGAUGCAAGCUAGGAUUGUAUCAUUUGAUAAUCAAAGCUUUGGUUUAGGAGAUAAGUAGCUUCUUCUUUGAUUUUUUUUAAUAUCGUGUUGUUCAUAUUUUUUCUUAAUUCUCUUCAAUGUUUACAUAUUGAUUUUGUGUUUUUUGUCUUUUUGUUUGGUUCAAAUGAAUUGUUGUUACUUGAACCUUCUUCAUGUAUGUCCCUUUAGGUUUUGCUUUGUUCAUGUUCAUGUGUUCUUUUGAAUUUUGUCGAGUUUUCUUCAAAUUUGUUGAGUGAAAUUUUCUUAUAAUUGAGUCAUUUUGAUUUUAAAAUCAUAUAUGUUUUGUCUAGAGUAAUGUUUAGUCCAAAAAUUGUCAUAAGCUCCAAUAAUUAGCUUUUUCAAAUUUUUUUCAAACUUUUUCAUAGAUUAAAACUCUUGAGUGCUUUUGAUUUUCAUUUUUGAGUUCCUAAAUUGCUACUAGAUCAUUAGCAGUUUUGUUUAAAGUUAGGGUUCCAUGAUCUUCUUCAAAAGUCAUUUUCGAAAAUUCUAAAAAAUAUUCCAAAAAAAUUCUGAGGUGCAGAAAGAAAAUCAGGAGGUUCGAAUAUCAAUCUGAAACGUUUUUCAGAUUUGCUUGAGCUGUGCAAUUUUCAUCCGCCUUUUUCAUCUUGUGCCUUCAUCUGUAUCAUCUUUUGUGUGAAAUUUUUUAUUCGCGUUGAAUUCUGUUGAGAUUGUUGUGUAUUUUCAUCUGCGUUCUUCAUCUUGUUCUUCAAUUUUUUGGAGCGAUAUUGGAAAUCUAUGAUUGGAAUCGGUUCUAUAUUGGAUCGUUGAAGCAUUGAAGCCAGUUGUUAGUGCUAGUGCGAAACGGAGAAAUUUCAGCGACAGAGAAUCGGGAACGGCAGUGGCAUUUUUCGGCGAAAACAGUGGAGCUGGUUUGCAAAGUGUAAUCGGAGGAACGAUGCGGUAUCGAUUCCGAACGGCGGUUUUACGUUUUCCGGCGAGAUAGGUGAACGAAUAACUGACCUCGUUGAUCUGUUUGAUUCUGGCAAUAUCGUUUUCAGUUGUUUGCGGUAGAGGAAUUUUAUUCCGGUUGCUGGAAAUACAAAGGUUUGUUUCAAAAAGUUAAGCUCUCCUGGAAAUAAAAUAGGUAAUGAGUUUGUUUGUGGAAAGAAUUGGAUGUUUCAAUAUGCUAGUUCUAUAAUUGGAAUGGGUUUAAACAUUUCUUCCCGCAGUAGGAGCUUUUGGUAAAAACAUUGUUGAAGCAGUUGCCUUUGGUUGAAAACUGCAGUUAAGGUGUUUGUUGAAUUGAUUCAGUGAAAAAUAUAUAUAUAUCUAAAGUGGUAAAAGCUUAUUGGAAAUCUGGUUUUCUGCACUUCUGUAAAUUUUGGUGCACCUGAAGUAGUUUUUUUUGUCUUGUUUAUAAUUUUAAACUUUAUUCUUGGCUUCUUUUGACGUUCUGCAUAUGUUUCAUGGCUGUCUGAAAUGUGUGAGUGAAGGAAGAAGACGAUGAACAGUGUAAAAGAUAGAAGAAGAGAGAAUCCGAGUAUAUUGCUCUAAUUGUUUUAUUCUGCAUGGCCAUCUUUCACGUGCAUGCUUGUGGCACUUUUUUCAUGUAUUCAAUCUGAGCUAACUAAUAUGUAUAUAUACACGUGAACUAAGGAGGACGGCUCAGCCCAAAAGGGUUCGGCCCAAUCCAGUACAAAACAAAAACGCUAAAACGCCCCCUCAAGCUGGUGGGUGAAUGUUUAACACACCUAGCUUGGAGAGAAAUCUGUAAAACAUCUCUCUGUUAAGAGACUUGGUAAAAAGGUCUGCAGGUUGAUCCUCACUGCUGAUUGGUAGUAAGUGAAAGAGACCUCCAUGAAGCUUCUCCCUUACCACAUGGCAAUCUAUCUCUAUGUGCUUGGUCCGUUCAUGGAAGCUGCUAUUUUGCGCUAUGUGUCUCGCUGACUGGUUAUCACAGAAUAAGCUAGCAACUCCAUUGGUGGUUACGUGAAGAUCUUCGAGCAAGAAAGUCAACCAUUGUAUCUCGCAACUUGUAGCUGCAAGAGCUCGGUAUUCAGCUUCAGAUGAGGAGCGGGAUAUGGUGCUCUGUUUCUUGGUUCUCCAUGAUACCAAGGAUUCUCCAAGGAAGAUACAGAAUCCUGUGGUGGAGCGCCGCGUUGUAAUGCAUGAUGCCCAGUCUGAGUCGCUGAAUGCCUUGAUUUGCAAACUGGUAUCCUUGGGAUAAAAAAGGCCUUGUGCUGGAGAAGUNNNNNNNNNNNNNNNNNNNNNNNNNNNNNNNNNNNNNNNNNNNNNNNNNNNNNNNNNNNNNNNNNNNNNNNNNNNNNNNNNNNNNNNNNNNNNNNNNNNNAGGAUCCUCUGUGCAGCUUGUUCAUGUGCCUUCGCAGGGGAUUCAACAAACUGGCUAAGGAAUUGCACAGCAAAGCUAAUGUCUGGUCGUGUGUUCACUAAGUAGAGCAGCCUUCCAAUGAUUCUUCUAUACAAAGAUAUAUCAUGAACUUUUGUAUUUCUGUCAAACAGUUUUUCAUUCUUUUGCGCCAUGGGUGUGGCCGCUGGUUUUGCACCUAGCAUUCCUGCAUCAGCCAAAAUCUCAAGAGCAUAUUUACGUUGACAAAUGUGGAUUCCCUCCCUAGUUCUAGCUAUCUCGAGUCCUAGGAAGAACUUUAAAUGACCUAAGUCUUUUAUUUUGAAGGCUGCAUCUAAAGAACUCUUUACUAUAUUAAUUUCAUUGGCGUUAUUUCCAGCAAUAAGGAUGUCAUCAACAUAUACAAGUAAAGCAAUGAAAGAGCCUUCAGUGUUUCUUAUAAAAAGAGAAUUGUCGGCUUUAGAGCGAGUAAAGUUGAUGGAAUAAAGAAAGGAAGUGAGCUUGUCAUACCAUCGUUUGCUUGCUUGUUUUAGACCGUAGAGAGAUUUCAUUAAUCGGCAUACCUGAUGUGUUUUGUUGGAAGCAAUACCUGGUGGGAUUUCCAUGUAGACUUCUUCUUCUAGGUCACCGUGCAAGAAAGCGUUGUUCACGUCGAGCUGUUCAAGAUGCCAGUCCAUGGCGGAGGCUACUGCAAGGAUGGUGCGAAUCGUCGUGAGUCUUGCCACCGGUGAAUAGGUUUCCAUGUAAUCAAUGCCUUCACGCUGUGUGUAUCCCUUUGCCACAAGCCUUGCUUUGUAUCUUUCUAUGUCUCCGUUAGCUUUUCGUUUGAUUCUGAAUACCCACUUGCACCCAAUGGCUGUCUUGUUUGGUGGAAGUUCCGUAAUCUUCCAAGUUUCAUUUUCUUCGAGGGCCUUUAUUUCAGCUUUCAUGGCUUCCCUCCAUUCUGGAUAUUGCUUGGCUUCCUCAUAGUUUUGAGGUUCAUUUUGGCAUGAAAUUGACAAAGCAUACUUUAAGUGAUGUUCUGCCAAAUUCUUGUAAGAUAUAACAGAGCUAAGAGGAUACAACACCUUGGUUUUCUGUGUUGCAUUGUUGCAUGGUGAGGUCAUCAUGUUGUGAUGGUAAUCUUCCAAGUAAGCUGGUGGUCUCUUAACUCUUGAAGAUCGCCUGAGUUCUUCUUGUUCAGCGUUUUCCUCUGUCGCAGUAGGUAUGGGAAUGGCAGCCUCACCCAUCGUAAAUUCAGUGUCUUCAAAAGUAGUCUCGUCACUGUUUUCCCUUUUUGAGUUACAAAAGUAGGUUUCAUAGAAUAUCACAUUUCUUGACACAAGUAUCUCUCUAGUAUGGACAUCCAUAACCACAUAGCCUUUAGUACCAUGCUUGAAGCCAAGGAAGAUACAUUUGCGUGCCCUGGGGUCAAGCUUGUGUCUGUUUUGCUCAAGGGUAGAAGCAAAACAGAGACAUCCAAAUACUUUGAUAUUGUAAAGAUCAGGAGCCAUACCAUGCAUUAGUUUAUAUGGACAUUCGUUUUGAAUAACAGGGGAAGGAAGG
rnacentral:lncRNA from 1 species